rnacentral:lncRNA from 1 species
ACUUGGGGGAAAUUGGUAUUCAGACAGGACCAUCCGUGAGGGCUUGCUCUCAUUCACCAGCUUCAAGCAUUCAAGUUUGUGGAGUUCGCAAAGGCUUUUGGAAACCCCAGAUUGAUAGUAACUCAAAUCUCCAGAUAUCCGAAGAGUCUGAACACUAGGUAGUCUGCCCAAUAUAUCAGGAGUACAACUACUAGGGUUUAAAGCUGAUAUGAAAAUGAGAUUUUUCAGAGAGCUAGAAUAAUUUUUUGGAGGUGCGGGCAGAGUGAUAGAACCAAAGUUUAGAUGCAUGAGUUUUUGCAUCAUCCAAAUAUCCUCUGGUGACUGAUCUAUGUAGCUAGAUGGCAUUUCUAGUGUUUCAAGGUUUAAAAGGGUGCAUAGCAGUGAAGGAAGGCAUUUGAGCGAAGGGAUAUUCAAUUUCAAAUACUUCAAAAGAUAUAAAUUUUCUAAUCCGGGUGGAUAUUGGUCCAGGACUGCAGAACCCAUGUUCAAUACCCGAAGGUGUUUGAACUUUUUACAAAAAUUCUCGCAAUCUAUCAGAGCGAGAUGAUCGCUUGCCGAACUGUGAUUCAGAAAAGAUUGGAGAUACAUGUCAGAAUGUUCUAAAGAUAAAAACCCAGUCAGAUCUUCGGCAAUGACGCACCGUUUAACAUUUGCCACUCGCUCCUCUUCCCUGUCAUGCACCAAGACAAAUCCGGCCUUCUCUGCCACAAAAUACAAUGAAGUAUAUACAAAACUUGGAACAUAACACGCUUUAAUUGUGGCUCCGGCGCUUCUCUUACUCACUUGAAUGAAGCCGCGAUGGAUUAGUUCUUUCAAGUAAUGUUCGGCAGUUUCUUCACCGUUGUAUGGUAUGAAACCUUCAGCUACCCACAACUGAUAUAAUUGCUCCGUAGAUAUCUCAAUACUUGGAAGGAAGACACACAAAUAGAUGAAGCAGACUUUCAAGUAAAAAGGUAACUCCAUCACAGAAAAAAUUUGUCUCCAAACUGUCGGAAUCGCUUCGCCUUGAAGAUAAUUUUCUAAUGGCAUACUUCCAUAGUGUAGGAUGAAAAAUUGCCACGCUUCAUGCUUUAAUCUGAUCAAUGGUCCUCCAAAGAGCACUGAAUCACGCCGAAUCUUCUCUCCGUUUUCCAUUUCCAACGACGCAAGGAGCUGUGGAUCACUGACCAACAUCAAUACUCUGCUUCCAUUCUGAUUAUCAGGAAGAACUUCUUCAAGAUCACUCCAUAUCUCACUGUCAUCGAAGACAUCAUCAAGCACAAUAAAGUACUUCCUGUUUGUUAGGUAAUCUCGAAGAAUAGAUUUCUUCAAUUGAUAAUCUUCCCCGAUAAUUACACUAACCCGAGAUGGAGGCAUCACCGACUUGAUUAUGUCAUCCAAUAUCUUGCCAAAAACGUAGGUUAUAGAAACCCUGACCCAAGCAAGACAGUCAAAAUAGAACUUGACGUGGUUAUUAUUGUAAGUAUCUGCAGCAAAAACAGUCUUGUCGAAGCCACUGCUGUCGAGAAUUGCAACCACUGCAAGCCCAGAUGGUCCCUCAAUCAAUAGAUCAAACAACUCCUCCCUGCCCCUUUCAAAUUCAUUGAUAUCAAGCCGAGGUUGUCCCUCACUCAAUAGGCGAAUGAUUUCGUUACUUUUUUCACUGAUAUCAAAACCAUUGUCGCCGGGUGGAAGUUGUUGCAUCCGAUUUCUAAUAUCAAUGAUUUUAGUGUGGAGUCCAACAAGAAGAGCCAUAAUGAUGUUGAUGAUUUCGUUACUUUCACUUUCGUUUUCACUGUUUUGCUGCUGCAUGAUGUUGAUGAAGAAUGUGUCAAUGACUUCCUCAGAGUCACGGACAAAGUUAUUGAUGUCCUUCAGAAUUUCAAAAAUAUCUGCUGUUUCAACGUCUUCUUCAUCGCUUUCUUCUAAGUCCAACAGUUGCAAAAAAGGCAAAGAUAUUUUGGAGUCAUCGAAUUCUUCUCUAAUGAGUUGAAACAAAUGCCGAGCCAUGUCAGCUUCAUAAUUUCCCAGCAGAGUAGUAGCAAUAAUUUCGGACUCCGUAAGAAGGUUUUGAAAAAGUGGAGUUAAAUUUGUUGAAUCUGGCAGCGGCAACGUGCCUUCUUCACCUGCUAACACCCUUUUCAACCUCUCACAAAACAGUCGGAGGUGGAAUUCCAGCAUAUCUCCUUCUCUCUGUAGCAGCCAGAGGUAUUGUUUUUUGCUCCAAGAAAUAUUAAAAGGAUUGGUUCUAUCCUCAAGUGGUUACUGGUGUAAAAUUAAACGCCAUGGGAGAAUUUGAAAGGAAGAUGCCAAGGAACUGGCGAAGUGGCUAAAUUCCACAAAUACGGCAUUAUUGCUCAUUUUUAACUCAAAAAAUUGAUACGCGUUCAUUUAGAGAAAAGUCCAAGACGCGUGCUUUUUGAAAAGAACAGGUAUCCCAAUCGGUAUCCAACCUUUAUCUUAUUUAAUUACUACCAUGACAUAAUUGAUGGUGCUUAAAUCAAUUGUUUCUUUUUUAAUUUAAAGAAUUUUUCAUUAAAAAAUAUUUUAAUAUCAAAUUGCCUUCAGUGGCGUAACAACUGCCUCAAGCCCAGUAACAGGACUAAUUAAAAAUUUUACAAUUUUGGGGCAUGGAAAUAGUAGUAUUAAACAUUAGAAAGGUGAGGUUGUUCUGUUAAAGAAUUGAUAUUGACAUAAUUUUAUUUUGGUUUUCGUGGAAAAAAAAAAUUUGUUGACAAACAAGAAAAUAUUUUUAUAUUUUAAAAUUUAUUAUGCAUAUUUUAUCAUAUUAAAGUAGUUUUAAUAGUAAAUAGAAACAUAAUAUUACGAUAAAUAAAUUAAAAUUUAACUUAUUUUGAAUAUUAUAAAAAAUAAUUUUAAUAUUAUUAAUAGGAAGACAUUGUAUUAAUUUAAAAAUUUUUUAACCCAAAGGUUUAUUUAAAAUCUUUAUUAUAAAUACAAAUAUAAAAUUAAAUAUCAUAAUUUAAAAUUUUUAAUAUUAUUUUAAGUAUGAAAAAUAUUUUAAUAUUAUUAGUCUAGAUCAUAUUACUUAUAUAAUAUUUGUAUUAUUAAAAAUGCUUUAAAAAAGACCUUGUUGUUACUUUUUAAAAAAUUGAGGGCCUGCUUGAUAAUUUUUUCAAAAAGAAAAUGCUUGGUAUAUAGGAGGGGUAGAGAAACAGGACUCCCAAAAUCUCUCACCCUUUUGUAAUUUAAAAAGAAUUAAAAUAUCAAUAAAAAAUAAUAAAGAAAAUAGAAUUUUAUCUGCUCCUUACUCCAUUUUUGCAACUCUCUCACCAUCUCUGUCGAGCAGCCCUCUCUCUCAUUGUCUCUCACUAUUUCAGGAUCUCUCUCUCACUCACACAAUCCUUUCCACGAUUUGAAAUUCUUUGGCCUUCUGCAACUCUUACAAGAAAUUAACGCUUUGGUUCUCCCAAGGGUAGAUUGGUUUUAUUGGGAAGCUAUUAAUUAGAAGGAGGAAAAAGGACUAUAUUUAGAAUAUGAUUUGUUGGAGAAUCUCAAAGUUAAUCAAUUUUCAAGCCACACUUUCAAUAGCCAAUUGAUUUAGUAACCAUUAAUUACUUUAAUUUCCAUAAAUUGUAAUGACAGUGCAAAUGCAUCUGGUUGUGAUAGCUAAGGGUUAGCUUGAAGAAUUAAAUUUCAUAAGAUAUUACUGGAAAAUGCUUUGCAGCUAACGUGCUGCUUCCUUUGCUAGACUACAAUUUCAAAAUUCUCACGAGUUUUCCAUUGUUGUCACAAACCGAGAAAUUAUAAAAUACAUGGCCUGGUUCUUUGGCAAUGACCAUCUCAUCGUCGGCGGUCGUGUCGUCAUUGUCACUGGUCUUGCUCGACCGAGACAGUGAGAGAGAGGUUUGUUAGAUGGAGUUAGUGAGAGAGAGUUGUAAAGAUGGAAUGAUGAUAAAGGAUUCUAUUUUUUUUAUUGUUUUUUAUUAAUAUUUCAACAGGUCUUAGUAUAUAUAUAUAUGAUUGUAAAUAUCAGUUAUACUCAUGUAAUAUGAGUUGUAAUUUGAGCAAUAGUCUCAUGUUAUCAAAAAAAAAAAAUCAAAAAGCAAAGGUUGUUAUGUCGAAGAAUUGAUGUCAACAAAAUUUUAUUUUAGUUUUCGGAAAAAACAAAACAAAAAUAAAAUUUUUGUUGACAAGCAAGAAAAUGUUUUUUAUACUUUACAAUCUGCUAUACAUAUUUUAUCAUAUUAAAGUAAUUUUAAUAAUAUAUGGAAACAUAAUAUUAUAAUAAAUAAAUUAAAAUUACUUUGAAUUAUUGAAUAUUACAAAAAGAUAAUUUUAAUAUUAUUAAUAGGAAAACAUAUUUUAUUUGUAAAAUCUUUUUAAUACACAAAUUCAUUUAAAAUCUUUAUAAUAAAUACAAAUAUAAAUUAAAAAAUAUCAUAAUUUAAAUUUUUUAAUAGUAUUUAAAUAUUAAAAAUACUUUAAUAUUAUUAAUCUACUACAUCAAAUAUAUUAUUUAUAUUAUAUUCGUAUUGAUUAAAACGUUUUAAAGUCAAAUUUUUAAUUAGUGUAUUCAAAGGUACAAAAGAUUUUAGUAUUAUUUUUUAAAAAUUUCAGGAUAUGAAUGAUAAUUUUUUCAAAUUUUAAAGAUGUAAAAAUCUUUUUUUCUGAUAAUUUAUUUCACUUUUGAGAGAAUCCGAAAACGUUAAUUUAACAUUCUUUACCUUUGUGAAAAAAGUGAAAAUCAAGAACUAUUCAAUUUUGUUUUUAUUUGUAAUUCAAAAACUUUAUUCAUUUUCGAUGCUUUUCAAAAGAGAUUCCUUUAAAUCCUUUUGAUGUCUGCAGCUCCUGCUAUUCUCAUAAAUCUCCAUCCCACAUCUACACUAUCAAACUAGUUGAUGGAAAUUCUUAUAAAAAAAAAAAAAAAGUCGAUGGAAAUUGAUCAAUUGCUUUUUGAAAUGGACCCAUUGAGUCAUGUUCAUUUCUGGUCAUAUAAAUUUCUUUACCUUACAGUUUAUACGGUCUUGCUGUUAAUGAAUUCGCUGAGGCAUUAUUGAUCCAAUCUGAGUGAAGUAAUUGUGGGUGAAAAAUAAAUAAAGGAUAGCAGAACGUAGCUGAAGUGCUGAAGGGGCUAUUAAAGAAGAGUGUCACUCGAUCACAAUCACAUUGAUGCACAACUCACUCGUGGCAAAUUCCGACUAUACGUACUGCAAAUUCAGCCAAACCAUACAUGCAUGAACAAAACAUCUUCUCUAAACUAAAAAGCCCACAUCUCUAAAAUCAAUCUACAUAAUGUUGGAGAUGAGGGGUGAAUUGUUAACUCAGUAAAAAAAAAAAAACUCAUGCAUAAGAUUACUAAUAAUAUAAAUUAUAUAUUAAUCAUUAUGAAGAAUCAUAAAUUAGAAAAAUUAAUCAUUUUAUAAUUUAUUACACAAGUAAGAUAAAUCUUAUAAUAAGUUAUAACAUAAAAAAACGUUAUCAAUAAAUAAUCAUUUAAGAAGUCAUUUAACAAUAAAAUCGUUCUUUGAUCAGUUGGUCAUGUCACAUAGUAUCAUCUAUAUUUAUGGUGAUAAUAUUAUUACUUGGUAUUAUCAAAAAACAUGAUUUAACAUUUUAGAGGAAAUUCUUGCCUUUUAAAAAAAACAUGUAUGCAACAGCUACCCAUGCUUGAUCUUACAAAUGAACAAAUAAUUUUUCUCAAUGAAAAGAAUUUUUUUUUUAAAUUGAUUUAAUUGCACCAAUUAUGAUGAUUUUUUGCCAAAAAAUUAUUUUUUGGAAAACAUAGUGAGAGAAAAUUAGUGACGAUUAUUUGUUUAGAUUGUAUAAAUAGCUCAAACAUAAUCCCUUAAUAACCNNNNNNNNNNNNNNNNNNNNNNNNNNNNNNNNNNNNNNNNNNNNNNNNNNNNNNNNNNNNNNNNNNNNNNNNNNNNNNNNNNNNNNNNNNNNNNNNNNNNAGGGAGAUCGUCGGGGACAAUCUGAACGGCCGACGCCGAUGAAAUGGAAGGGUUUACCAGAGGAGUGGAUGCGAAGAGUGCAGGGACGGCCGCAGAGAGAGAGCGGCGGAGAGCGGCGACGGACGGUAGUCGGUAUGGGCCAUUGCUUGCGCGUCGGUAAUUGUCUCGAGUGAGAGAGUGAAGGGUUUUGUUUAGGGUUUUGGGAAAUGAAAAAUGCAAAUGUUUGAUUUUGUUGCUAGAAACUUCUUCUGCCGCUGCCUUUUAUUUUCGCUAUAAUAAUAUUAAUAAUUUGUUAAUAAAAUAUUUUCUUAAAAAAGAUAAAUUUCUACGACAAAAUUUAUAUUAAAUCAAAUUGUAAAAAUGUCUAUUAGGGUUAAUUUCUCCUUAAUAUUAUUAUUAGUAGAAGUAGAUUUUCGAAUUAGUCUUGAUAUAUUUCAGAGUUGUAUUAUAAAUGUAUAUGUAUCUGGAUUGCAAUUGUAUUUUUAAAAAAUAUAAUUUUUUUAAUUAUUGCACAAUAAAUGUAGAAAGUGUCUAUAAAAUAAUAUUAUUAGAACUAUGAAAAGAUAUUAUUUUAGAGUAGUUAUUUAUUUAUUUUUGAAUAAAUAAUUUAUUAAUUUAUUGAUAAAUUAAUAUUUAUUAAUUUAAAGAGAGAUUUUUUUUUUGUGGGUUUUAAGAAGAGUUUUGUUGGUAUAUGUAUAAACUUAUAAAGAAAUACAAAAAAUGCUUCCUCAAGUCAAUAAUAUUUACUUUAAUUCAUAAUAAUAUAGUUUAAUCAAGAAACUUGUAAUUAUACUAUAUCUUUCUUUCUUUGUUCAGUUUGGUGGGACAUUGUGAUAAAUCAUUGGAUUAAAAUGCAUUUGUAAAUGAAAACUUGUUAAAACCUAAUUUAUUUGGGAAAAACAUAUUAUUUACUCUUUUUUUUUCCCGCUCUCUGACAAUUGAGGUAUGGGUCAAGCUUGAAAGUAUCUUAAAAUCAGACAACAAUUUAACGAUUUUUUGUUUUUAGAUAACUGCUGGUAUGCUCUACAAUGAUAAGUGAUAACCUAGGUGUUUGCAUUAAUUAUGAUUCAACAAUUUAAAAAAUGAAAACAUAUGGAAGACGGCCGCAAUUAAAUUUAUUGUAUGAAAAUAUUUCAAUGAAAUUUUAAAAAUUUAGUACUUGUUAUCUUAUCGAGAGUUUUUAAUUAUAUUACUACUUGAACUUGACUGCUUUUGUAUUGAAUUCCUAGCGUUGCCAUUGCUUCUACUCAAAAGCCAUUUAAGUUUGUGUAAGCUACCUGUAGUUUGAACAACAAUUUUCUAGAUGAAUUUUUUCCUACAUGCUUGUUCUCGUAUGACCCAAAAUCCUGCUACAUCAGUUGUAUUAGAAAUUAAUCAACUGGGUUACAAUUAUGCAUCCCCACCAAUAUUCAAGCAAUCUACAGAAACAUUUCUUGAGGAAAGAAACUCAUAUCGCCACUAGGCUUUUAAUGAGGCUCAUUUUUAUGAAUCUGGAUGGCAUUAGAUAUCUCUCCGAAUAUUGGUGGGAGUAUAUCGCUGAUCUCUGGGCUAUACUACAAAGUGUAUGUACGUUGACUCUCAAUAAAUACAAACGAUUCUCUGAUCUGAUUCAAAACAUCAGUACAUGCAUCAUUUUAAUGAGAAAGAAUAUUCUAAGAACGAAAUUGAAGGUGCAAUCAGCAGCUAAAAUGAAGCCAGAAAUGUACACGCAUGAGGAACUUUUCCUAGAAGAUUGAUAUUUCUUUAACUAGCAAACCAUAUAAGUCCAAAGCUAACCAAACCAUACCUGCAAGUCCGGGGCUUAAAUGGAGUACUUGUAAGCAUAAAACAUUAAUCAAAACACAGUAUAGACACACACACACACCCCUACAUACAUACCAGCAAAUUCGGAAUAGAAAAAGGAGUGCAACUAUUCAAGUUUGCAGACAAUAUUGCAACCAUGGCAUAUUAAAGCAAAUCCUUGAAAUCAGCUAAACAAAACAAUGCCCUGUCUCAUGAAUCGAUGCUCAAUUAAAAUUGCAAUUGAAAGUCCGGCUGGUGUUGUUUCCCUCCCCAGUUUUGCCUACAUAAGUAAACGGAAAUAAGAAUCAUAAAUGAAAAUCUACUUUGACAGUUCUUAUUAGAUAGAUAUAAAAAGAUCUUUCUUUGUUUCUCUGCUGUAAUUUGUAGACAUGUUCCUAUUGUGCAUAAUUUACAUUAUAGGCAAAUAUUCUUAUACCAUCAUAGGCAAAACAUGACACUAACAAUUGAAGGUUUUAUGACCUCCUUGAAGGUUUUACGAUAAACAUAAAUCUACUGAGAAAGUGGGAAAAAAAAGAAAAUGCAUAUAAAAAUAUGAGUUAUCAGAUAAGAUUGAAACUCACCCAAUUCAAUCCAUCAGAUUCCGCAAGGAUAUAACUGGAUGUCAUACCGCCACUCCAUAUCCUCGAAAGUCCGUAGUCCUUGUCUCAACUGUGUCUGGGGCCAGUGUAAGUCCAAUUUGCGCAAGCUCUUUAUGCACCACAGCUCUUCUGGAAGCUUUCUCAAGUAAGCACAUGGGUUGACAAUUAAGCUUUCAAGUUUCGGCAUUGCUCCAGCCCCCAUCGUCCACUCAUCUAGCCAAUACAUUGAUUUCAGGUGCAAAACCUUAAGUUCGGGAAAGCUACUCAAGCCAACACAAGCAAGCUUUCUUCCUAAAUACGAGUUCUGCUUCAGUUUCAGCACUCGAAGGAGUGGAAGAUUUUCCAGAAUUGGCAUGGGAUCCUGUUGUGAAUUUGGCUUUGUUACGACUAACCAAAUUCUCCCCAAGACACUAAUUUUGUAUCAAAUGGUUUGAGAAUUAACAGCACAGAUUAUGCAGUAACAAAUCACACGCAAGAACCAAAGCAUUAAAGAAACAAAGUGACACCAAGUAUAAGUGGUUCAGCACCAAGAUGUGGUGCCUACAUCCACUGGAAACAAAGCAACAGUCUUUCACUAUUUAGUUCACAAAACAAUACAAUAAUAGGAAUUUAUUUACAGAGAACAAGAACUUGUAAACCCCUUUCUCUCUCUAUCUUCUCUCUACUCUCUGUGUUUCCCAAUUCAUGUGUAGACGAUGACAGAGCCUGCACUUUUAACCUCUGUUUCUGGGUUGUUACAUUAACUACCCUUCCCGCCAAAACUAACCAAGAAGCUCCUCUCUCACGUGCUUGUCACAAGUUGGCAUAAGUGAGCUUGAAACGGCAAUCACAGAUGUCGUUCUUGAGCUAACGAGAUUUCAGCUUCACUACACGUGCAAACCACGUGUAUUACUUAAAGGUUGAAUGACCAAAGAGAGGAUGUCGGUUUUACUCUGAAGAACUCCUCAAGCGACAAGUCGGCUGAGACUAACUCCUCUAAACGACUUGUAGCACUUGAGUUUCGAGUUCACUGUUUAUCAAUCUCCACCUUGAACUCAGAACUCUAGCUACUCAUGUUUACUUCAUUCUCUUCCAUUUGCAGCUAAUCAGAAGCUGCAAAUCCCUACUAAGCUCAAACAGAAGUUGAGCUUGGCAGAUGGCAUAGCUUUAGUCAACAUAUCAGCUGGAUUUUGAUCAGUGUGAACCUUGAGCAUCUUCACAAUUCCCUUGGAAACUUCAAGUCUAACAAAAUGCAGCUUUACAUCGAUAUGUUUUGUUCUUUCGUGAUGGGUCUGGUUUUUACUCAAAUGUAUUGCACUCUGGCUAUCACAAUAUACUUCAACUGUUUCUUGUUUUGCUCCUAACUCAGAGACCAUUCCUUUUAACCAGAUGGCUUCCUUAAAAGCUUCUGCAGCUGCUGUAUAUUCGGCUUCAGUUGUGGACAAAGCUACCACACUUUGCAGUGUAGCUUUCCAAUUCACAGUGCAGCCUCCCAAAGUGAAUAUAAAACCUGUCUGAGACCUCAUUUUAUCAAGAUCUCCAGCGAAAUCUGAGUCAACAUACCCCACCAGCUUGUGCCCUUCCUGUUUUAACCCUCCAUAUAGCAGACCAAACUCCAUAGUGCCUUUCAGGUACCUCAUUAUCCAUUGGACUGCCCUCCAAUGUUCAUAACCUGGAUUUGCCAUGAAUCUACUCACUACACUCACAACAUGUGAGAUAUCAGGUCUAGUGAGAACCAUGGCAUACAUUAGAUUCCCAACUGCACUGGAGUAAGGUAUCCUUGCCAUUUUUCCUUGCUCUGCAUCAGUUUGUGGACACUGUGCAGCAGACAGCUUGAAGUGAUUUGCCAAAGGUGUUUGAACAGACUUAGAUUCAUGCAUCCCAAACCUAAGUAACACCUUUUUAACAUAGCCCUGUUGGGUUAGAAACAUAAGCUUCCUUCUCCUGUCUCUGAUAAUUUCCAUACCUAAGAUCUUCCUUGCAGCUCCAAGAUCUUUCAUAUCGAAUUCACUGCUCAAGAGGUCCUUUAAAUGACUGAUUUCAUUUAUGCUGUGACAUGCUAUAAGCAUGUCAUCCACAUACAGCAUAAGAUAAAUCAUCUUUCCAUCACCAAUGUCCUUAAAGUACACGCAACAAUCAUAAUUGCUUCUCUUAUAGGCAUGUUUUGUCAUGAAACUAUCAAACUUCAAGUACCAUUGCCUAGGAGACUGCUUUAAUCCAUAUAAAGAUUUCUUUAGUAAGCACACAUGAUCUUCCUUGCCAGACACCACAUACCCCUCAGGCUGCUCCAUUACAAUUUCUUCUUGUAAUUCACCAUGCAGAAAGGUUGUUUUAACAUCCAUCUGCUCUAGGUACAAGUCUUGAAUGGCAACUAAAGCUAAGAUGACUCUGAUGGAGGCAUGUUUCACAACUGGAGAGAAGAUUUCAUUGAAAUCAAUCCCCUCUCUUUGUGUGAAACCUCUUGCUACCAGCCUAGCCUUAAACCUACUAGGUUCAGCAUCAAAUAUCCCUUCCUUAAUUUUGAAGAUCCAUUUGCAGCUAACAGUCUUCCUUUUCUCUGGUCUAACUAUCAGUUUCCAAGUUCCAUUUUUCAUUAGUGAUUCAAUUUCCUCAUCCAUAGCCUUCUUCCAUUUCAGCUUAUCCCUGUUGUUUAUAGCUUCUUUAUAGGUUCUUGGCUCUUCUUCAUUUAUCUCUUGUGCAGCUGUUAAUGCAUAAGCUAUCAAAUAUGCUACUGCAUACCUCUUAGGUGGUCUUACAGCUCUCCUCUUUCUAUCCCUGACCAACUGAUAAGAGUUAUUUUCAUUCUCAGCUGGCUCUGACUCCUGAACACCAUCAGAUCCAUCAGCAACCCUUCCUGCAUCUUCUUCAGAUUCUGAUUCAGUCAUAUCUUGCUCAUGGGACUCCACCUGAAACUGAAUACUCCCAGGUUUUAUUUCUGAUCUAUACUCUUUGGAUUCAGUGGCUUUGGAAUUGUUCAAGAUUUCUGACUCAUUGAAAGUUACAUCCCUACUGAUAAUGCAUUUUGGUGGCUUCAGAUCAAUGCACCAUAGCCUAUAGCCUUUAACUCCAUCAGGGUAUCCCAAAAAUCUACACUUUAAGGCUCUUGGCUCCAAUUUGCCUUGUUUGACAUGUGCAUAAGCAACACAGCCAAAGAUUCUUAGUUUAGAGUAAUCAGCAACCCUUCCAGACCAUAGCUCGAUAGGUGUUUUGCAUUCUAUUGCUGUAGAUGGGCUUCUGUUUACCAAGUAGCAUGUUGUGUUUAAGGCCUCUGCCCAGAGUGACUUAGGCAGCUUUGAGUAUAGCAGCAUACACCUCACGUUGUCCAUUAAGGUUCUAUUCAUCCUCUCAGCAAGACCAUUUUGCUGAGGUGUGUGUAUGACUGUUUUGUGCCUCAUAAUCCCAUGUCUUUCACAGAAGUCCCCAAACUCUUUAUUGCAGAAUUCCAUUCCAUUAUCUAUUCUUAGAGCUUUUACUUUCAAACUUGUUUGUGUUUCUACCAGAAUUUUCCAUCUCUUGAACCUUUCCAAAACUUCAUCUUUGGUUUUGAGUACAUACACCCAAACCAUCCUUGAAUAGUCAUCUAUUAGGGAUAAGAAAUACCUACAGCCACCAAGGGAAUCUACCUGUGCAGGUCCCCACAGAUCAGAGUGUAUAUAUGCAAGCCUCUCUUUGGUAGAAUGAACUGCAGAUUCAAACUUGAGCCUGGAAGCCUUCCCUAGAAUACAGUCUUCACAGAACCCCAAAGAACUUAGCUUGUCACUUCCAAACACCCCCUUCUUUUGAAGCUCCUUCAGUCCUCUCUCCCUCAUGUGCCCCAACCUCAAGUGCCAUAGUUUUGCUUUAUCUUCACUCUUCUCAGUGACACUUGCCUCUCCAACAGUUGUAUGUCCAUUAAGCACAUACAAACCAUUUUGCUUGGUACCUUUCAUUAUGACUAUUGAGCCUCUGAUAACUUUUAAUGUCCCAUUUUCAGCCUUAAUGACACAUCCAGUUUGAUCAAGCAUGCCAAUAGAUAUUAGGUUCCUUUUGAGUUCAGGAACAUGCCUAACCUGAGUCAGUUCUCUAACCAUGCCAUCAUACAUCUUAAGGCUUACAGUCCCAAUCCCAACUACUUUACAAACUGAAUUAUUUCCCAUCAGCACCAUACCCCCAUCACAGGACUGAUAUGUAGUAAAGUAAUUUCUAUUUGGACUCAUAUGAAAAGUACAUCCAGAGUCUAGUACCCACUGACCUUGAGUUUUUUCUUUUGUGGCAAUGAGGACUUCAGCUGUCUCAAAACUGGUUUCUUCUGUGGCUAUUGCUGCAUUUCCAGAUUUUUCUUUUGAUUCCUUUUGUUUUGUUUUUCUCUCAGGGCAAUCCCUCUUGAAAUGCCCUUCUUUGUGGCAGUGAAAACACUUCAAGUGUUUUUGCUUUGACUUUGAUCUUCCUUGCUUCUUUCCUUUGUAUUCUCUUUUUUCAGAUCUUCCCCUUGCCAUCAGCCCUUCACUUGAUUCACUCUCUGAGUUAUCUUGUUUGUCUUUUAACUUCUUGGUACCAAGAGCAGAUUUAACCUCUUCCAAGGAGAGUGAUUGCCUUCCAUAUAACAAGGCAUCCACAAAAUGUUCAUACGAUUUUGGUAAAGAACUGAUUAACAGCAAAGCCUUGCUCUCAUCACUCAGUCCUUCAUCAAUUGUUUCCAGUUCAUCACAAACUUUAUUAAACUCAUCUAUGUGUUCAUCAAGUGAUGCUCCUUCAAUCAUCCUCAGUGAGAACAUCUUUUUCUUGAUGUAUAGCCUGUUUGCUAAAGACUUUGUCAUAUACAAUUGUUCCAGUUUUGCCCAGAGCCCAGCAACAGUCUUUUCUUUUGCAACUUCCCUUAUCACUGAGUCACCAAGACUGAGGAUGAUAGUGCUUCUUGCCUUUUUGUCAAUCUCAGCCAUCUGUUCUGGAGUUCUUGAAGAAGAAGCUUCUGCAUUUUCACUCUUGAUGACUGGAUCAAUGGCAUCUCCCAGACCUUGUGUGAUUAACAAUGCUUCCAUCUUGAUCCUCCACAUAUUGAAGUCAUUCUGACCCGUGAACUUCUCAAGAUCCACCUUGUUUGUCAUUUCUUGAACCUUGAUACAGAAAAGAGGGCUCUGAUACCAAUUUGUUGUGAAUUUGGCUUUGUUACGACUAACCAAAUUCUCCCCAAGACACUAAUUUUGUAUCAAAUGGUUUGAGAAUUAACAGCACAGAUUAUCCAGUAACAAAUCACAUGCAAGAACCAAAGCAUUAAAGAAACAAAGUGACACCAAGUAUAAGUGGUUCAGCACCAAGAUGUGGUGCCUACAUCCACUGGAAACAAAGCAACAGUCUUUCACUAUUUAGUUCACAAAACAAUACAAGAAUAAGAAUUGAUUACAGAGAACAAGAACUUGUAAACCCCUUUCUCUCUCUAUCUUCUCUCUACUCUCUGUGUUUCCCAAUUCAUGUGUAGACGAUGACAGAGCCUGCACUUUUAACCUCUGUUUCUGGGUUGUUACAUUAACUACCCUUCCCGCCAAAACUAACCAAGAAGCUCCUCUCUCACGUGCUUGUCACAAGUUGGCAUAAGUGAGCUUGAAACGGCAAUCACAGAUGUCGUUCUUGAGCUAACGAGAUUCCAGCUUCACCACACGUGCAAACCACGUGUAUUACUUAAAGGUUGAAUGACCAAAGAGAGGAUGUCGGUUUUACUCUGAAGAACUCCUCAAGCGACAAGUCGGCUGAGACUAACUCCUCUAAACGACUUGUAGCACUUGAGUUUCGAGUUCACUGUUUAUCAGAUCCUCCAUUAGCUCAGUAUUUGAUAAGCUCAGUUGGAUCAGACUUGGGGGAAAUUGGUAUUCAGACAGGACCAUCCGUGACGGCUUGCUCUCAUUCACCAGCUUCAAGCAUUCAAGUUUGUGGAGUUCGCAAAGGCUUUUGGAAACCCCAGAUUGAUAGUAACUCAAAUCUCCAGAUAUCCGAAGAGUCCGAACACUAGGUAGUCUGAACAAUAUAUCAGGAGUACAACUACUAGGGUUUAAAGCAGAUGUGAAAAUGAGAUUUUUCAGAGAGCUAGAAUAAUUUUUUGGAGGUGCGGGCAAAGUGAUAGAACCAAAGUUUAGAUGCAUGAGUUUUUGCAUCAUCCAAAUAUCCUCUGGUGACUGAUCUAUGUGGCUAGAUGGCAUUUCUAGUGUUUCAAGGUUUAAAAGGGUGCAUAGCAGUGAAGGAAGGCAUUUGAGCGAAGGGAUAUUCAAUUUCAAAUACUUCAAAAGAUAUAAAUUUUCUAAUCCGGGUGGAAAUUGGUCGAGAACUGCAGAACCGAAGUUCAAUACCCGAAGGUGUUUGAACCUUUUAAAAAAAUUCUCGCAAUCUUUCGGAUUAAGAUGAUUGCUUUUUGAACUGUGAUUCAGAAAAGAUUGGAGAUACAUGUAAGAAUAUUCUAAAGGAAAGAAGUCAAACUGAUUACCCAAAAUGAUGCACCGUUUAAAAUUUGCCGGCGGUUCCUCAUCCACGUCAUGCAUCCAGACAAAUCCCGUCGCCUGUGCCAACAAUAACAAUGAAGUAUAUACAAAACUUGGAACAUAACACGCUUUAAUUGUGCCGCCGGCGCUUCUCUUACUCACUUGAAUGAAGCCGCGAUGGAUUAAUUGUUUCAAGUAAUGUUCGGCAGUUUCUUCACUGUUGUAUGGUAUGAAACCUUCAGCUACCUACAACUGAUAUAAUUGCCUCGUGGAUAUCUCAAUACUUGGAGGGAAGACACACAAAUAGAUGUAGCAGACUUUCAAGUGAAAAGGUAACUCCAUCACAGAAAAAAUUUGUCUCUCAACUGUCAAGCCGAAUUUUCCUUGGGUCAGGGUUUCUAAUGGCAUACUUCCAUAGUGUAGGAUGAAAAAUUGCCAGGCUUCAUGCUUUAAUCUGAUCAAUGGUCCUCCAAUGAGCACCGAAUCAAGCCGAAUUUUCUCUCCAUUUUCCAUUUCCAACGACGUAAGGAGUGUUGGUUCAGUGACCAAUAUCAAUACUCUGCUUCCAUUCUGAUCAUCAGGAAGAAGUUCUACAACAUCACUCCACAUCUCACUGUAAUGGAAGACAUCAUCAAGCACAAUAAAGUACUUCUUGUUUGUUAGGUAAUCUCGAAGAAUAGAUUUCUUGAAUUGAUAAUCUUUACCGAUAAUUACUCUAACCCGAGAUGGAGGCAUCACAGAUUUGAUUAUGUCUUCCAAUAUCUUGCCAAAAUCGUAGAGUAGAGAAACCCUGACCCAAGCAAGACAGUCAAAAUAGAACUUGACAUAGUUAUUAUUGUAAGUAUCUGCAGCAAAAGCAGUCUUAUCGAAGCCACUGCUGUCGAGAAUUGCAACCACUGAAAGCCCAGAUGGUCCCUCAAUCAAUAGAUCAAAAAACUUCUCUCAGCCCCGUUCAAAUUCACUGAUAUCGAGCGGAGGUUGUCCCUCACUUAAUAGGCGAAUGAUUUCGUUACUUUUUUCACUGAUAUCAAAACCAUUGUCGCCGGGUGGAAGUUGUUGCGUCCGAUUUCUAAUAUCAAUGAGUUCACUGUGGAGUCCAUCAUGAAGAGCCAUAUUAGUGCUGCUUUCACUUUCGUUUUAACUGUUUUGCUGCUGCAUGAUGUUGAUGAAGAACGUGUCAAUGGCUUCCUCAGAUUCAUGGACAAAGUCAUUGAUGUCCUGAAGAAUUUCCAGAAUGUCUGAUCUUUCAUCGUCUUCUUCAUCACUUUCUUCUAAGUCCAACAGUUGCAAUAAAGGCAAAGACAUUUCGGAUUCAACGAAUUCUUGUCUGAUGAGUUGAGACAAAAUCCGAGCCAUGUCAGCUUCAUAGUUUCCCAACAGAGUAGUAGUAAUAAUUUCAGACUCCGUAAGAAGGUUUUGAAAAAACGGGGCUAAAUUUGUUGAAUCAGGCAACGUUAACGUGCCUUCUUCACCUGCUAACACCCUUCUCAACCUCUCACAAAACAGUCGGAGGUGGACGUCCAGCAUAUCUCCUUCUCUCUGUAGCACCCAGAGGUAUUGUUUUUUGCUCCAAGAAAUAUUAAAAGGAUUGGUUCUAUCUCAAAGUGGUUACUGGUGUAAAAUUAAACGCCAUGGGAGAAUUUGAAUGGAAGAUGCCAAGGAACUGGCGAAGUGGCUAAAUUCCACAAAUACGGCAUUAUUGCUCAUUUUUAACUCAAAAAAUUGAUACGCGUUCAUUUAGCGAAAAGUCCAAGACGCGUGCCUUUUGAAAAGAAGAGGUAUCCAAUAGAUAUCCAACCUUUAUCUUAUUUUAAUUACUACCACGACAUGAUUGAUGGUGGUUAAAUCAAUUGUUUCUUUUUUAAUUUAAAGAAAUUUUCAUUAAAAAAAUAUUUUAAUAUCAAAUUGCCUUCAAUAGCGUAACUGCCGCAGGCCCAGUAACAGGAUUAAUUAAAUUUUUUUGAAUUUUUGGGCAUGGAAAGAGUAGUAUUAGACUUCAGUAAGCUAAGGUUGUUAUGUUAAAGAAUUGAUAUUGACAUAAUUUUAUUUUAGCUUUCGGGGAAAAAAAUAUUUGUUGACAAGCAAGAAAAUAUUUUUGUAUUUUACAAUUUAUUAUACUUAGUUUAUCAUAUUAAAGUAAUUUUAAUAAUAAAUAGACACAUAAUAUUACAAUAAAUAAAGUAAAGUUUAAAUUAUUUUGAAUAUUAUAAAAAAUAAUUUUAAUAUUAUUAAUAGGAAGACAUUUUGUUAAUUUUAAAAUAUUUUUAACCUAAAGGUUUAUUUAAAAUCUUUAGAAAUCUCCAUCCCACAUCUACCCUAUUAAACAAGUUGAUGGAAAUUGAACAAUUGCUUUUUGAAGUGUACCCAUUGAGUUAUGUUCAUUACUGGUCAUUGUCUAUUCUUUCUAAGAGCCACUUGUUUUGAGCAUUAGCAAUCCUAUCUGGACUACUCCAAUUAUUGAUGUAACUCCAAUGGUUGCAUCAACAGUUGAAUGUAAGAUAGUGUUAGUUCUUUUUUGAGAAUUUCUUUAUUUGUUUCUCCGUUGCAGCGUAUUAGUAUAAAUUUCUUUACCUUACAGAUCCUACAGUCUUCCUGUUAAUGAAUUCGCUGAGGCAUUAUUGAUCCAAUCUCAGUGAAGUAAUUGUGGGUGAAAGAAAAAAUAAAGGAUAAGAGAACGUAGCUCAAGUGCGGCAAACCAUACAUGCAUGAACAAAAGCCAGCAAAUCCAAAUGAAAACUUAAACGGAAGAUCUUAUUCAAGUUUGUCCCCAAAAGACAGCUGAAAUGAAAAAUAUUGACUAUCGAGUGGAUCAAUGCUGAAUUACAUUUGACCUGGAAAGCUUGGCUGCCGUUGCGAUGUUCCCCCUCUGAUUUUCCCUAAAACAAAUUCAGUUGUAAACAAUAACUGGGGUAGCAACAAUUUAUUCAUUAUAGAAAAUACCUAAAUUUUCAACCACCAAAUCCUCGUGUCUAAACUAAAAAACUCAUAUCUCUAAAAUCUAUAUACAAAAUGUCAUAAAUGAGGGUGAUCUCUCAAUUCGGUAAAUAAAUUCAUGCAUAAUAUUACCAAUAAUGAUAAAUUACAUAAUAAUUAUUAUAAAGAAUCAUAAAUUGGAAACAUUAAUCAUUUUAAAAUGUAUUACAUAAUAAAGAUAAAUCUUAUAAUAAGUUACGUUAGAACAUAAUAAAUAUUUUCAAUAAUAUAUAUAAUUAUUUAAGAAGUCUUUUAGCAAUAAAAUAUAUAUUUUUUCUUUUUCAGUUGAUCAUGUCAUAGCGUUAUCUAAAAUGUUAGCGAUAUCAUUAUUCUUCACUUUUCUCAAAAAAAAAAAAAGAAAAAAAAAAGAAACAUGAUUAACGUUUGGAGAAAAGUCAUGCCUUUUAAAAAGAAUAUGUAUACAAUACCAAUCCAUACUUUAUCUGACCAUGACAAAAUUGUUUAAAAUAGAUUUAAUGCACAAAUAUGAUGACUUUUGGCAGAAAUUAGUUUCGGAAAUAUUGGGAUGAAAACCAUAUUGGUUGAGACUUAAAAUUACUUAACUACCAUUUAAUAGAUAAAAACCAUAUUAGUUGAAAGUUAAAUUAAGAUUUAAAUGUUGAGAUAUCUAACGUUACUUAAUCAGAAUAAACAAUAAUCAAUUCAAAUUAUGACUAUCAUGUAGAAGCAAAUGUUUAUGCUUGGGUCUUUUACUUCUUGAAUUUGAUUGGAAAAAUUUCUGAGACAGAGAAGUGAGUGUUUUGGAUAAUAUUUUUCGGGAUUGAAACCACAAAUUGGUCGAGGAAAAUAAUUUUGGACAAAUUUUUAUUAUAUUGUAGCACCUUUUUGGUUCCUUUUGUGUCGGCAGCCCCUCACUAUUCUCUUAACCCUGAGUUUUGAGAUAGAAAUUUCCCGAACUCCAACCCCACAUCCACAGACAAGUUGAUUGAAACAAUUGCUCUUGUAAUUAAGAGGAUGAGAUAGGGUUCAGUUCUUAUCAUUGUCUGUUAUUUCUUUGAAUCAUUAUCUUAAUUAAUUACAUCAAUUGUUUCUUUUUUUAAUUUAAAGAAUUUUUCUUUAAAAAAAUAUUUUAAUAUCAAAAUGCGUUAAAUGGUAUUACUGCCGCAAUCCCAGUAACAGGAUUAAUUAAAAAAAUAUUCUUAGGAAGAUAUUUUGUUUAUUGUAAAAUCUUUUUAAUCCAAAGGUUUAUUUAAAAUCGUUAUAAUAAAUAAAAAUAUAAAAACAAAAUAAAUAUCAUAAUUUAAAAUUUUAAUAUUAUUUUAAAUAUUAAAAAUACUUUAAUGCUAUUAGUCUACUACACAGGUUAUAUUACUUAUAUUAUAUUUGUAUAAAUUAAAACUUUUAAAGUUAAAUCUUUAAUUACUAUAUUGAAAAGGUAUUAUGGUUAAAAAAAGUUUUGGCAUUUUUUUUUGAAAAUUUGAGGGUCUGCAUGACAAUUUGUCCAAAUCCUAGAGGUAUAGGUGUAUUUUUUUUUCGAUAAUUCAUUUUACUUUUGAGGGAAUCCGAUGAGAAAUAAGAUAAGAGAAACUUCAAUUUAAUGUUCUCUAGGGAAAACCAAGAACUAUUCAACUUUGUAUUUUUUGUUUGUAAAACAAAAAACAGUUUGCCAAAAAAGGUACCAAACAUAUCCUUAAUGUCUCACAUGAUUUCUUAUUAAGUCCAUACUCGAUAUAUUUAUACAUUUUAGGUAUUUUAGUUAUAAAAGAAGUUGGUCCUCCCUCUGUUUAUAAAAGGUAACUUUAUUUCGAGAUUACCACUAAAGUCUUACAAAGAAUUAGUGUAAUGUUAAGAGAGACUAACACAGUUUUCCAUUACCAUUUUGAAAAUAGAAAGAUAUGGAUGUGUGCAUUUAAUGGUGAGUUUACUUGCCGGAUUGGGGAAUCAGAAUCUGGAAUCGGAAUGAUUGAUGGUGUUUACUUCGCAAAUAUGGAGCAGGAAUCAGAAUUGGAAUGGUGGAGCCCACCACUAUUUGGGAAUGGGAGAUUGAUUCCCAUGGGGGAAGGUGGGAAUGAGUCUCCCAUUCCCUGGAUUAACCAUUUUGCCCUCCCUCAAAAUUAAAAAUGCCUACUUUGUCCUCUUUUAUAAUUAAUUAAUAUAAUAUUAUAAUUAAUUAAUUAAUAUAUAAAUAUUUUAUUAACUAUAAUUAUUAAAAAUUAUAGUUCUUGAAUAAAUAAUCACAAUAAUUAAUUUAUUAUUAUUAUUGUUAAUGAAUUAAUAUAAUUAUUACUAUUAAUUAAUAUAUUAAUAUAUUAUUAACAAUAAUAUAUUAAUAAUUAUUUUUCGUGAAUAAAUAAUCACAAUAAUUAAUAUAUUAUUAUUGUAAUUAAUUAAUUAAUAUACUAUUAUAAUAAUUAAUUCAUAUAUUAUUAUUAAUUAAUUAAUAAAAUUAAAAUUAUUAAUUAAAUAAAUAAUAUAAUUAUUACUACUAAUUAAUAUAUUAUUAAAAAUAAUUAUUAAUAAUUAUAAUUUUUGAAUAAAUAAUCACAAUAAUUAAUAUAUUAUUUUAAUUAAGUAAUUAAUAUUAAUAUUAUUAGUUAAUAUAUUUUUAUAAUAAUUUUUGAUAUAGUUAUUAUAAUUAAUUAAAUUUUUUUACAAUUAAUUAAUAUAUUAGUUAAUAAUAAUUAUGACAAUAAUCCAUUAAGUACUUUUUAGUAAUUUGUUACAAUCUAAUUCAUUCUGAUUCCGAUUUCAAGACAAAGUAAACACAUUAAUGGCAAUCUAGCUCAUUUCGAUUUUGAUUCUUACAGUUCAAGUAAACAACUUAUUUUGAUUCCCAUUACCUAUUCCCAUUCCAGCCCAUUCUCAUUUCUGCCCAUUUCAAUUCCAGCUCAUUCCGAUUCCAGUUUAGUAAACGCAGCAUAAGAGUUAUCAUGAAAAUCAUACAAUUUAAUUUCCUGAAAUAUAUAUUUUAUUCACAUGUGCCAAAAGAAUAAAUAGAUAGAAAGUAAAUUUACAAUCCUCACUCCCUCAUAAUUGUUAAAGUGAAUAUGCAUUACAACUGUGAACUGUCACUACUUUAGCCCCUUUUUUUUUUUUUUCAAUUAUAGUGUGAUGGAGACAGUGAACAUUAAGGAUAAAGUGCUCUGCUGAAAGCCAAACUUCCUUUGGCUAAUUAAUUUAGAAGUAAAGCAGAGAAUAAAGUCCUUGAUGCCUUCUGAAAUUAGAAAUACAUUUUAUAUGCUUUAAUUAUGAUUAUUUGGUAGACUAUUGACCAAAAGACAUGUUAAAGUAUAAAACAGAGCGAUCAAAGAAAAAAAAAAAAGGAGCGUUUGUGACGUAGAAUAACAAUUUGUAAGUAAAGUCCUAAUUUGAGUUGUCAAAAAGCAAAUAUAACAGAGAAGGUAAGAGAGAUGCAAAAAGGGGAAAUUUACAGUAAUAACCAUUAAAGUUUUGAUUUUUUUCAUCUUAACCCCUUAAAAAUAUUUCUAUCAACAUUAGCCAUAAAACAACUUUUGAGACCAAAAUACCUCUCCUUCAUCUCUCCCCCAAAAAACUUGUUCUGUGGCCAAAAAGCUUGAUUUUUUUUUUAAAAAAAAAAUCUAAUCUUUUGCGGCUUGUUGCAUGAUUUUAAGAUGAAAAAUUUGUCAAGUUGUAUUCUAUCAGCAUUAUUAUUAUUAAUGCUUUCACCUGCAAAUUCAUUGAUAUUCAUUCCCCCUUCCAUAAUCUUCGUGCCCAAAUUGCUUCUAACUUUUCUCGACUUCGACGCGGGUGAGAGAUUGCUUUUCCUUUCACCUUUUUGUUUUCUUCCGUUUAGCUUCAUUAUUUUAAAAAAAAAAAAACCGAAACAGAACAGAAACAAAAGCUUCAGCCCGCGGCCACCGUCCAAGGCUGCCGGCUCUCGUUUUCCGUCACCGAUCCGGACGCAACCACCACUAAACGGAUCAUAAAUCGCCGGCCAUCAAACUCCAAGCAUCGGACACCGUUGAUUAGCCACAGAUCGCCGGAAAAGCAACCAAAACAGCCGCGCCAACCGUGCCGUCAUUCACCGGUUUCCGCCGCGAUUUAGCCAGCACCACCGUAAUCAAUCCACUCCUCUCCACGAGCUCAACCUCUUUCGUUAUUCCCCACCUCCGAUCGACCAACCCAUCGCCGGAAUCUAAGCAUCACCAAACAGUUACAACUUAUCUCAAAUUUCCGGCCAAAACGCCACCGUUUCCGACGAAUCACAAACAUCAUCAUGAACAACUUCAAGUUUUGGUGCGACAGGGUGCUUGUCGCACCAAAACUUGGUGCGACGGGUGCCUGUCGCACCAAGGCUUGGUGCGACGGGUGCCUGUCGCACCAAGGCUUGGUGCGACGGGCACCCUGUCAUCAGAUUCAUCCUCCGACUCAGAUCAAUAAGUUUGAAAAUAACUCAUGCCACGAUGCCGAUUAGUUUUGGUCUGUAAAGAAGGGUAAUUUAGGGAGAAAGGCUUGUGUUUGGCUAAUGUUGAUAGAAAAAAAUUCAGAGGAUUAGUUGCAAAAAUAACAAAAUAUUUAUGGUUAUUUUCGUAAAUUUCCCCAAAAAGAGAACUAUUAGCUUAUCUUGAUUUCCCCACUAUAUUCAUUUUCGAUGCUUUUCAAACGAGAUUCUUUUAAUCCUUCUGGCGUCUGCAGCCCCUGCUCUUCUUAUAAAUCUCCAUCCCACAUCUGCACUACGAACAAAUUGACUAAAAUUAAAUAAUGUUGGAGACGAGGGAUGAGCUGUCAACUUAUUAAAAAAAACUCAUGUAUAAUAUUAUCAAUAAUAUAAAAUAUAUAAUAAUUAUUAUAAAGAAUCAUAAAUUAGAAAAAUUAAUUAUUUUACAAUCUAUUUCUUAAGUAAGAUAAAUCUCGUAAUAAGUUAAGUUUAAUGUAAAAAAAUAUUUUCAAUUUAUAAUCAUUUAAGAAGUCAUUUAACAAUAAAAUCUUUCUUUUGAUCAGGUGGCCAUGCCAUAGAGUAUCAUCUAUAUUCGUGGUGAUAUUAUUAUUACUCAAUAUCCUCAAAAGACACGAUUUAACAUUUAGAGAAAAUUCCUGCCUUUUAAAAAGAACAUGUAUGCAAUAGCUAGCCACACUUUAUUUUACCACGACAAAAUUGAUAGUGAUUAAAUCAAUUUUCUCAAUUAAAGAAAUUUUUUUAAAUUGAUUUAAUGCACAAAUAUGAUGAGUUUUUGCAAAAAUUAGUUUUGGAAAAUAUAGUGAGAGAGAAUGGUGACGAUUAUUUUUCAGAUGUGCAAAUAGCCUAAACAUAAUCUCUAAUACCAAUAUCCUUGUGCAUCUUAACACCUUUCAUGAUAUUCUUUCAUUCAUGGCCAUUUGUUCAAUAUUUGAAUUUGAUUAUUAAAUUAUGUUCAAUAAUGUUAGAGACCCCAAUAAUUGGGUACCAACUUAAAUCCCAAUGCUAUGUGUCAUUAACAAAUGUUGUGUCAUUUAUCAUUAUUGAAUGAAUAAUUCGUUAAUUUAUUGAUAAAUGAAAAUUUAUUAAUUUAAAGAGAGAUUGUUUUUUUUUGGUUUUAAGAAGAGUUUUGUUGGUACAUGUACAUACUUAUAAAGAAAUAAACUUGUAAUUAUACUAUAUCUUUCUUUCUUUGUUCAGUUUGGUGGGAUAUUGUGAUAAAUCAUUGGAUUAAAAUGCAUUUCUAAAUUGAAACUUGUUAAAAUCUAAUUUAUUUAGGAAACACAUAUUAUUUGUCAGUCGUACUUCUCAAAUAAGAUUAAAACUCACCCAAUUCAAUCCAUCAGAUUCCGUAAGGAUAUAACUGGAUGUCAUACCGCCACUCCAUAUCCUCGAAAGUCCGUAGUCCUUGUCUCAACUGUGUCUGGGGCCAGUGUAAGUCCAAUUUGCGCAAGCUCUUUAUGCACCACAGCUCUUCUGGAAGCUUUCUGAAGUAAGCACAUGGGUUGACAAUUAAGCUUUCAAGUUUCGGCAUUGCUCCAGCCCCCAUCGUCCACUCAUCUAGCCAAUUUACUCAUGAAUUGUUGUUCAUAUUAGCAAUUUGAUUGAAAGUGUGGCUGCACUAAUUUUCUAGAUGAAUUUUUUCCUACAUGCUUGUUCCCGUGUGACCCAAAAUCCUGCUACAUCAGUUGUAUUAGAAAUUAAUCAACUGGGUUACAAUUAUGCAUCCCCACCAAUAUUUAAGCAAUUUAAUUACAGAAACAUUUCUUGAGGAAAAAAACUCAUAUCGCCACUAGGCUUUUAAUGAGGCUCAUUUUUAUGAAUUUGGAUGGCAUUAGAUAUCUCUCCGAAUAUUGGUGGGAGUAGAUCGCAGAUCUCUGGGCUAUACUACAAAGUGUAUGUACGUUGACUCUCAAUAAAUACAAACGAUUCUCUGAUAUGAUUCAAAACAUCAGUGCAUGCAUCAUUUUAAUGAGAAAGAAUAUUCUAAGAACGAAAUUGAACGUGCAAUCAGCAAUUAAAAUGAAGCCAGAAAUGUACAUGCAUGAGGAAUUUUUCUUAGAAGAUUGAUAUUUCUUUGACUAGCAAACCAUACAAGUCCAAAGCUAGCAAACCAUACCUGCAAGUCGGGGGUUUAAAUGGAGUACUUCUAAGCAUAAAACAUUGAUUAAAACAGAAUACACACAUACAUACCAGCAAAUUCAAAAUAGCAAAAGGAGUGCAAAAGUUCAAGUUUGUAGACAACAUUGCAACCAUGGCAUGUUUAUAGCAAAUCCUCGAAAUCUGCUAAAUAAAACAAUGCCCUGUCUCAUGAAUCAAUGCUGAAUUAAAAUUGAAACUGAAAGUCUGGCUGGCGUUGUUUCCCUCUCCAAUUUUGCCUACAUAAGUGAAAAUAAGAAUAAUAAAUGAAAAUCUGCUUUUACGGUUCUUCUUUGAUAGAUAAAAGGGGGAUCUUUCUUUGUUUCUCUGCUGCAAUGUGUGCCUAUCCCACUCUGUUUUGCCACCCAAGCUGAGUCUAUGUUGAGACAUAAUUUUGACAUCCGAAGCAAUCUCAAUUAGUUUGGCAAUUUUAUGACCUCCUUGAAGGUUUUAUGAUAAACAUAAAUCUACUGAGAAAGUGGGAAAAAAAGAAAAUGCAUAUAAAAAUAUGAGUUAUCAGAUAAGAUUAAAACUCACCCAAUUCAAUCCAUCAGAUUCCAUAAGGAUAUAACUGGAUGUCAUACCGCCACUCCAUAUCCUUGAAAGUCCGUAGCCUCUGUCUCAACUCUGUCUGAGGCCAAUGUAAAUCCAAUUUUCGCAAGCUCUGUAUGCACCACAGCUCUUCUGGAAGCUUUCUCAAGUAAGCACAUGGGUUGACAAUUAAGCUUUCAAGUUUCGGCAUUGCUCCUGCCCCCAUCGUCCACUCAUCUAGCCAAUACAUUGAUUUCAGGUGCAAAACCUUAAGUUCGGGAAAGCUACUCAAGCCAACACAAGCAAGCUUUCUUCCUAAAUACGAGUUCUGCUUCAGUUUCAGCACUCGAAGGAGUGGAAGAUUUUCCAGAAUUGGCGUGGGAUCCUCCAUUAGCUCAGUAUUUGAUAAGGUCAGUUGGCUCAGACUUGGGGGAAAUUGGUAUUCGGACAGGACCAUCCGUGAGGGCUUGCUCUCAUUCACCAGCUUCAAGCAUUCAAGUUUGUGGAGUUCGCAAAGGCUUUUGGAAACCCCAGAUUGAUAGUAACUCAUAUCUCCAGAUAUCCGAAGAGUCCGAACACUUGGUAGUCUGCCCAAUAUAUCAGGAGUACAACUACUAGGGUUUAAAGCUGAUAUGAAAAUGAGAUUUUUCAGAGAGCUAGAAUAAUUUUUUGGAGGUGCGGGCAGAGUGAUAGAACCAAAGUUUAGAUGCAUGAGUUUUUGCAUCAUCCAAAUAUCAUCUGGUGACUGAUCUAUGUAGCUAGAUGGCAUUUCUAGUGUUUCAAGGUUUAAAAGGGUGCAUAGCAGUGAAGGAAGGCAUUUGAGCGAAGGGAUAUUCAAUUUCAAAUACUUCAAAAGAUAUAAAUUUUCUAAUCCGGGUGGAUAUUGGUCCAGGACUGCAGAACCCAUGUUCAAUACCCGAAGGUGUUUGAACUUUUUACAAAAAUUCUCGCAAUCUAUCAGAGCGAGACGAUCGCUUUCUGAACUGUUAUUCAGAAAAGAUUGGAGACGCGUGUCAGAAUAUUCUAAAGAUAAAAACUGAAUCAGAUCUUCCCAAAUGAAGCACCGUUUAACAUUUGCCAGUGGUUCCCUUUUCCUUUCACGCAUCCAGACAAAUCCCGUAAUCUCUGCCACCAAAGCCAAUGAAGUAUAUACAAUACUUGGAACAUAACACGCUUUGAUUAUGCCUCCGGCUCUUCUCUUACUCACUUGAAUGAUGCCGCGAUGGAUUAGUUCUUUCAAGUAAUGUUCGGCAGUUUCUUCACCGUGGUAUGGUAUGAAACCUUCAGCUACCCACAACUGAUAUAAUUGCCUCGUAGAUAUCUCAAUACUUGGACAGAAGACAUACAAAUAGAUGCAGCAGACUUUCAAGUGAAAAGGUAACUCCAUCACAGAAAAAAUUUGUCUCCAAAUUGUCGGAAUCGCUUCGCCUCGAAAAUAAUUUUCUAAUGGCAUACUUCCAUAGUGUAGGAUGAAAAAUUGCCAGGCUUCAUGCUUUAAUCUGAUCAAUGGUCCUCCAGUGAGCACCGAAUCAAGCCGAAUCUUCUCUCCGUUUUCCAUUUCCAACGACGCAAGGAGGUUUGGAUCAGUGACCAAUAUCAAGACUCUGCUUCCAUUCUGAUUAUCAGGAAGAACUUCUUCAAGAUCAUCCCAUAUCUCACUGUGAUCAAAGACAUCAUCAAGCACAAUAAAGUACUUCUUGUUUGUUAGGAAAUCUCGAAGAACAGAUUUCUUCAAUUGAUAAUGUUCACCGAUAAUUACACUAACCCGAGAUGGAGGCAUCACAGACUUGAUUAUGUCAUCCAAUAUCUUGCCAAAAUCGUAGAGUAUAGAAACCCUGACCCAAGCAAGACAGUCAAAAUAGAACUUGACAUGAUUAUUGUUGUAAGUAUCAGCAGCAAAAGCAGUCUUGUCGAAGCCACUGCUGUCGAGAAUUGCAACCACUGCCAGCCCAGAUGGUCCCUCAAUCAAUAGAUCAAACAACUCCUCUCUGCCCCGUUCAAAUUCACUGAUAUCAAGCCGACGAUGUCCCUCACUCAAUAGGCGAAUGAUUUCGUUACUUUUUUCACGGAUAUCAAAACCAUUGUCGCCGGGUGGAAGUUGUUGCGUCCGAUUUCUAAUAUCAAUGAUUUUAGUGUGGAGUCCAACAAGAAGAGCCAUAUCAGUACUGCUUUCACUUUCGUUUUCACUGUUUUGCUGCUGCAUGAUGUUGAUGAAGAAUGUGUCAAUUGCAUCCUCAGAUUCAUGGACAAAGACAUUGAUGUCCUCCAGAAUUUCCAAAAUAUCUGCUCUUUCAACAUCUUCUUCAUCGCUUUCUUCUAAGUCCAACAGUUGCAAAAAAGGCAAAGAUAUUUUGGAGUCAUCGAAUUUUUCUCUAAUGAGUUGAAACAAAUGCCGAGCCAUGUCAGCUUCAUAUUUUCCCAGCAGAGUAGUAGCAAUAAUUUCGGACUCCGUAAGAAGGUUUUUAAAAAGUGGAGUUAAUUUUGUUGAAUCUGGCAGCGGCAACGUGCCUUCUUCACCUGCUAACACCCUUUUCAACCUCUCACAAAACAGUCGGAGGUGGAAUUCCAGCAUUUCUCCUUCUCUCCGUAGCACUCAGAGGUAUAGCUGAAAGAUUAAACACCAUGGAAGAAUUUGAAAGGAAAAUGCCAAGAAAUUGUGUAAGUGGCUAAAUUCCACAAAUAUGACAUUAUUGCUCAUUUUUUAACUCAAAAAAAGGGUACGCGUUCAUUUAGAGAAAAGUCCAAGACGCGUGCCUUUUGAAAAGAACAGGUAUCCCAAUCGGUAUCCAACCUUUAUCUUAUUUAAUUACUACCAUAACAUAAUUGAUGGUGCUUAAAUCAAUUGUUUCUUUUUUAAUUUAAAGAAUUUUUCAUUAAAAAAAUAUUUUAAUAUCAAAUACCCUUCAAUGGCAUAACUGCCGCAAGCCCAAAAACAGGAUUAAAUAAUUUUUUUUUUUGAAUUUUUGGUCAUGGAAAGAGCAGUAUUAAACAUCAGAAAGCUAAGGUCGUUAUGUUAAAGAAUUGAUAUUGACAUAAUUUUUUUUGGUUUUCGGGGAAAAAAAAAUUGUUGACAAGCAAGAAAAUAUUUUUAUAUUUUACAAUUUAUUAUACAUAUUUUAUCUUAUUAAAGUAAUUUAAUAAUAAAUAGAAACAUAAUAUUACGAUAAAAAAAUUAAAGUUUAACUUAUUUUGAAUAUUAUAAAAAAUAAUUUUAAUAUUAUUAAUAUGGGGACAUUGUAUUAAUUUUAAAAUUUUUUAACCCAAAGGUUUAUUUAAAAUGUUUAUUAUAAAUACAAAUAUAAAAUUAAAUAUCAUAAUUUAAAAUUUUUAAUAUUAUUUUAAGUAUUAAAAAUAUUUUAAUGUUAUUAGUCUACUACAUAGAUCAUAUUACUUAUAUAAUAUUUGUAUUAUUAAAAAUUCUUAAAAUCAAAUUUUUAGUUAGUAUAUUCAUGAGGUAUUAUGGUUAAAAAAAAAAAGACCUUAUUGUUACUUUUUAAAAAAUUGAGGGCCUUCGUGAUAAUUUUUUCAAAAAGAAAAUACUUGGUAUCUGGGAGGGAUAGAGAAAUAGGACUCCCAAAAUCUCUCACCCUUUUUUAAUUAAAAAAAUUAAAAUAUCAAUAAAAAAUAAUAAAGAAAAUAGAAUUUUAUCUACUCCUUACUUCAUUUUUGCAACUCUCUCACCAUCUCUGUCGAGCAGCCCUCUCUCUCACUCUCUCACUCACACAGUCUUUUUCACGAUUUGAAAUUCUUUGGCCCUUUGCAUUACAAGAAAUUAACGCUUUGGUUCUCCCAAGGGUAGAUUGGUUUUAUUGGGAAGCUAUUAAUUAGAAGGAGGAAAAAGGACUAUAUUUAGAAUAUGAUUUGUUGGAGAAUCUCAGAGUUAGUCAAUUUUCAAGCCACACUUUCAAUAGCCAACUGAUUUAGAAACCAUUAAUUACUUUAAUUUCCAUAAAUUGUAAUGACAGUGCAAAUGCAUCUGGUUGUGAUAGCUAAGGGUUAGCUUGAAGAAUUAAAUUUCAUAAGAUAUUACUGGAAAACGCUUUGCAGAUAACGUGUUGCUUCCUUUGCUAGGCUACAAUUUCAAAAUUCUCACGAGUUUUCCAUUGUUGUCACAAACCGAGAAAUUAUAAAAUACAUGGCCUGGUUCUUUGGCAAUGACCAUCUCAUCGUCGGCGGUCGCGUCGUCAUUGUCACUGGUCUUGCUGGACCGAGACAGUGAGAGAGAGGUUUGUUAGAUGGAGUUAGUGAGAGAGAGUUGUAAAGAUGGAAUGAUGAUAAAGGAUUUUAUUUUUUUUUAAUUGUUUUUAUUAAUAUUUUAAUUUUUAAAAUUAAAAUUUGCUGCCGUUUCUCUCGACUCUCAUAAUUUAUUUCAUUUUUAGGGAAUCCAAUGAGAAAUAUGAUAAAAGAACGUCAAUUACUUGUCAUUUUCAAUUUUUUUCUAUAAGCUAUUUAUUUCGAGCAUUAGUGAUCUUGUCUGGCUACUCCAAUUAUUGACGUAACUCCAGUGGCUGCAUCCACUGGAAAAAGUGGAUGAGAACCAUUUUUUUUUCAUAAAGGUAACUGCUCCAAUUAUUGACAUAAUUGAUGGUGCUUAAAUCAAUUUUUUUUUUUAAUUUAAAGAAUUUUGCUUUAAAAAAUAAUUAAUAUCAAAAUGCCUUCAAUGUUGUUACCGCCACAAGCCCAGUUAGAGGACUCAUUAAAAAUUUUAGAAUUUUUAGGCCUGGAAAGCGUAGUAUUAAACAUCAGAAAGCAAAGGUUGUUAUGUCGAAGAAUUGAUGUCGACAAAAUUUUAUUUUAGUUUUCGGAAAAAAAAAUAUUUUGUUGACAAGCAAGAAAAUAUUUUUUAUACUUUACAAUCUGCUAUACAUAUUUUAUCAUAUUAAAGUAAUUUUAAUAAUAUAUGGAAACAUAAUAUUAUAAUAAAUAAAUUAAAAUUAAAAUUACUUUGAAUUAUUGAAUAUUACAAAAAGAUAAUUUUAAUAUUAUUAAUAGGAAAACAUUUUUUAAUUGUAAAAUCUUUUUAAUACAAAAAAUCAUUUAAAAUCUUUAUAAUAAAUACAAAUAUAAAAUUAAAAAAUAUCAUAAUUUAAAUUUUUUAAUAUUAUUUAAAUAUUAAAAAUACUUUAAUAUUAUUAGUCUACUACAUAAAAUAUAUUAUUUAUAUUAUAUUCGUAUUGAUUAAAACGUUUUAAAGUCAAAUUUUUAAUUAGUGUAUUCAAAGGUAUAAAAGAUUUUAGUAUUAUUUUUUAAAAAAUUUCAGGAUAUGAAUGAUAAUUUUUUUCAAAUUUUAAAGAUGUAAGAAUCUUUUUUUCUGAUAACUUAUUUCACUUUUGAGAGAAUCCGAAAACGUUAAUUUAACAUUCUUUACCUUUAUCUUUUCAAAAAAAAAAAAAACAUUCUUUUUUUGAUAAGAAUGUUUUUUUUUUCUUUAAAAAAUAAUUAAUAUCAAAAUGCCUUCAAUGUUGUUACCGCCACAAGCCCAGUUAGAGGACUCAUUAAAAAUUUUAGAAUUUUUAGGCCUGGAAAGCGUAGUAUUAAACAUCAGAAAGCAAAGGUUGUUAUGUCGAAGAAUUGAUGUCGACAAAAUUUUAUUUUAGUUUUCGGAAAAAAAAAUAUUUUUUUACCUUUGUGAAAAAAGUGAAAAUCAAGAACUAUUCAAUUUUGUUUUUAUUUGUAAUUCAAAAACUUUAUUCAUUUUUGGAUGCUUUUCAAAAGAGAUUCCUUUAAAUCCUUUUGGUGUCUGCAGCUCCUGCCAUUCUCAUAAAUCUCCAUCCCACAUCUACACUAUCAAACAAGUUGAUGGAAAGUCUUAUAAAAAAAAAAAAGUUGAUGGAAAUUGAUCAAUUGCUUUUUGAAGUGGACCCAUUGAGUCAUGUUCAUUUCUGAUCAUUGUCUACUCUUUCUAUCAGCCAUUUAUUUUGACCAUUUGCGAUCUUAUCUGGACCUACUCCAAUUAUUGUUGGAACUCCAAUGGUUGUAUCUACAGUCGAAUGUAAUAUAGUGACAGCUCUUUCUUUGAGAAACUAGAGGGACCUUACAGUUCAUAUAAAUUUCGCUACCUUACAGUUCAUACGGUCUUGCUGUUAAUGAAUUUGCUGAGGCAUUAUUGAUCCAAUCUGAGUGAAGUAAUUGUGGCUGAAAAAUAAAUAAAGGAUAAGAGAACGUAGCUGAAGUGCUGAAGGGGCUAUUAAAGAAGAGUGUCACUUGAUCACAAUCACAUUGAUGCACAAUUCACUUGGCAAAUUUCGACUAUGCGUACUGCAAAUUCAGCCAAACCAUACAUGCAUGAACAAAACUAAAAUGUAGUUCUAAUCACAACUGCAGUUAUGAUGUUUACCCCUCUGAUUUUUCUCCAAAACAAAUUCAGUUCAAAACAAUAAUCAAAAUAGCCACAUUUUGUUCGUCAAAAUAAAUGCCCAAAUUUUCAAUUAACAAAUCAUCUUCUCUAAACUAAAAAGCCCACAUCUCUAAAAUCAAUCUACAUAAUGUUGGACAUGAGGGGUGAAUUGUUAACUCAGUAAAAAAACUCAUGCAUAAUAUUACUAAUAAUAAAAAAUAUAUAUUAAUCAUUAUAAAGAAUCAUAAAUUAGAAAAAUUAAUCAUUUUAUAAUUUAUUACACAAGUAAGAUAAAUCUCAUAAUAAGUUAUAACAUAAAAAAAACGUUAUCAAUAUAUAAUCAUUUAAGAAGUCAUUUAACAAUAAAAUCGUUCUUUGAUCAGUUGGUCAUGUCACAUAAUAUCAUCUAUAUUUAUGGUGAUAAUAUUAUUACUCAGUAUUCUCAAAAAACAUGAUUUAACAUUUAGAGGAAAUUCUUGCCUUUUAAAAAAAACAUGUAUGCAACAGCUACCCAUGCUUUAUCUUGCCAUGACAAAUAUUUUCUCAAUGAAAGAAAUUUUUUUAAAAAUUGAUUUAAUGCACAAAUAUGAUGAUUUUUCCAAAAAUUAAUUUUGGAAAAUAUAGUGAGAGAAAAUAGUGACGAUUAUUGUUUAGAUGUAUAAAUAGCCUAAACAUAAUCCUUAAUACCAAUAUCCAUAUGCAUCUUAUCAUCUUUCAUGAUGUUCUUUCAUUUAUGUCCAUUGGUUCAAGAUUUGAAUUUGAUCAUUAAAUCAUGUUCAAUAAUAUUAGAGAUUCCAACAAUUGAGUACCAACUUAAAUCCCAAUGUUAUGUGUCAUUGACCAAUUAUGUGUCAGUGACCAAUUUUGUGUCAUUUUGUUAUUAACUAGGUGAUGAAUUUCUAGUUGAUAAAAUCACUUAAAAAUAUCUUAAAAAUUAGACAAUAGUUUGCUUAAUUUUUCCAAGUUAACUGCUCAAGAUGCUCUAUUAUAAAUGAUAACCUAAUUAUAUUCAUAAAAAAUGAUAUAUUUUUUUGUGGUGUUGAUAAUGAGAUUAUCAUUCAACGUUUUAAAAUGUGAAAACAUAUGGAAGACGGUUGUAAAUUGAUUGAAUGAAAAUAUUUCAGUGAAGUCUCAAAAAUUUGGUACUUGUUGUCUUAUCGAAAGUUUUCUAAAUUAUAUUCGUGGCACAGCCACUAUCCAAACCAUACAAGUCCAAAGCUAUCCAAACCAUACCUGCAAGUCCGGGGCUUAAAUGGAGUACUUCUAAGCAAAAAAACAUUGAUUAAAAUAGAAUAUAUACAUACAGACACACAUACAUACCAGCAUAUUCAAAAUAGCAAAAGGAGUGCAAAAGUUCAAGUUUGUAGACAACAUUGCAACCAUAGCAUGUUUAUAGCAAAUCCUCAAAAUCUGCUAAAUAAAACAAUGCCCUGUCUCAUGAAUCAAUGCUGAAUUAAAAUUGAAACUGAAAGUCUGGAUGGUGUUGUUUGUUGAGAAUGUCAAAUAAAACGGCAUUGAAGGAAGUUUUCAAAGGCAGAAUCCGCACUUGUCAAAGACACGAUCCGCACCGAACGGAUCGACACAUUUCCUUCCGUAUUCACAUAUGUAAUCUUUGAAAAAAUGUAGCUUCUGCAUCUAUAAAUAACGCUCAGUGUAUAAUGUUUUAUUCAAGAAAUAAAAACAAGUUUCUACAUGGUAUCAGAGUCAUGAAUGCGCUCAAGUUUCUUCAAGUUUCGCUGCUCUGUUUGUCACAAAAACAGAGGAAACCAAAUUCGUCCCACAACCAUUUUUUCCACCAUUUUCUUCCUUAAAAUCAUUCCUAACAUUACAGAAAUCCAUGCCGAUCAAAAAACAUGAAAGACAAAUUACACAUGUGCAGUAACCAAUGAUCAUAUUUCGUUACUGUCAAACACAAUGCAUCUGAGCAAAACAUUGGAAGCCAACACCAGAAUACAUAUGAAUAAACAAUUAAAGAUAGAGAAAAAAGGCUUAAACCUUGGGGGAAAAAAGUGAAAAAACAUGAAAGACAAAUUACACAUGUGCAGUAACCAUCGAACUUAUCAGUGACAGCUGCAUCCAUUACAUUGCUCCAACAACACAAUGGCAAACCACCAGUUUCAAAUUGAGGAUAGCUAUCGAGAAUGAGAAAGUGUCCAAAACAUCAUAAAUAGACAUGUUCCUAUUGUGCAUAAUUUACAUUAUAGGCAAAUAUUCUUAUACCAUCAAAGGCAAAACAUGACACUAACAAUUGAUCCCCCCCCCCCCCCCCCCCCCCAACAACCAAAAAAAAAGGAAAAACAAUACAGAAAAGAUUGAAACAGAUAAGGCUACACUGAGCACAGGAUGCCAUGAAACAUAAUCCAGGAACCAAAUUAAUAAAAAAGGAAGCCAAACCAUUAUUUAACAAUCUGUUUUGUAUUUGGGAAAGUCUGAUAAAAUCUACUUAGGGAUAAUUAGAGAACUUCAACUAUUAAUCACACCUCAUAAAUGAACUAACAUUAACCAUCUACCAUCCCCACGUCACACAAACAUUCUCUAUACUUCUGAACCUAAUACUUCCAUCUUCAAUUGGGGGUUUUUUUUCUUUUUUUUUUUGGGUGGGGGGGGGGGGGGGGGGGGGGAAGCUAUCAAUUUUCUAAGCUUGCUUAGCUUCUGUGUGGGAUUGAAAUGCUGAUUUCGAAUCACUAACAGUAAAAUUGGAAGCUCAUGAAAAAACAGUUUUAUCUCAAAAUUACAUCUCGAUAUAAAUUCUCUUUUCAUUUCCUUCAACUUUCUAAUUAAGCUUAAAAAAUGUACCUUCAACCACAAAGGGGUUUAAAAUUUAAAAUAUAAAAAAUAAAUUCAGAUAACAAUAAUUAAUUUAAUUAAAAAUAUAAAUAGAGUUACAGAGAAAGAGAAAAUAGAGAAAGACCUAAUGUUGAGUCCUUUGGCGCAUGUCUCUUCAUAGGUCCGAACCAUUUCUUCGGGCGUGGGUUACGGCCGAGAUUGGAUAAUGAUGGAGUAGGAUAAGAUUAGCGAUAACGACGCCGAUGAAAUGGAAGGGUUUACCAGAGGAGUGGAUGCGAAGAGUGCAGGGACCGCCGCAGAGAGAGAGCGGCGGAGAGCGGCGACGGACGGUAGUGACCAGCGGAGGCGGAAGAUGGCGGUAUGGGCCAUUGCUUGCGCGUCGGUGAGUGUCUCGAGUGAGAGAGUGAAGGGUUUUGGGAAAUGAAAAAUGCAAAUGUUUGAUUUUGUUGCUAGAAACUUCUUCUGCCGCUGCCUUUUAUUUUCGCUAUAAUAAUAAUAAUAAUUUGUUAAUCAAAUAUUUUCUUAAAAAAGAUAAAUUUCUACAAGAAAAUUUAUAUUAAAUCAAAUUGUAAAAAUGUCUAUUAGGGUUAAUUUCUCCUUAAUAUUAUUAUUAGUUGAAGUAGAUUUUCGAAUUAGUCUUGAUAUAUUUCAGAGUUGUAUUAUAAAUGUAUAAGUAUCUGGAUUGCAAUUAUAUUUUUAAAAAAUAUAAUUUUUUUAAUUAUUGCACAAUAAAUGUAGAUAGUAUCUAUAAAAUAAUAUUAUUAGGACUAUGAAAAAAAUAUUAUUUUAGAGAAGUUAUUUAUUUAUUAUUGAAUGAAUAAUUUAUUAACUUAUUGGUAAAUGAAUAUUUACUAAUUUAAAGAGAGAUUUUUUUUUUGAUUUUAAGAAGAGUUUUGUUGGUACAUAUUCAUACUUAUAAAGAAACACAAAAAGUAGUUCCUCAAGUCAAUUGUAUUUGCUUUAAUUCGUAAUAAUAUAUCUUAAUCAAGAAACUUGUAAUUAUACUAUAUCUUUCUUUCUUUGUUCAGUUUGGUGGUACAUUGUGAUAAAUCAUUGGAUUAAAAUGCAUUUCUAAAUGAAAACUUGUUAAAACCUAAUUUAUUUGGGAACCAUAUUUUAUUUGUCAGUCGUAUUUCUCAACUUAGCAAGUUAUUUCUAACUUAUCGGUCUCUAUUGGUUUUCUUAAGUGCCUGUUUGAUAUGACUUAUUUAAUGGCAAUAAGUGCUUAUUUAAUCUCAUAAGCUCUUAUCAUAAUUUUUGUUAUUGUUUGGUUGUUUUUCUAAUAAAGUUUUUGAAGCUUAAAUAAGUAAUUUUACCUCUCUUAACAAAAGCUCAAAUUUUGAGUUUUUUGGGAGUAGAGAUUGAAAAACUUUUUCAAAUGUCAAAAUAUCUAUAAUAUCCUCUACUUAUUUAACAAUCUUAUUUAUUAUUUUCAUAAUAUAACUUUAAAAGACUUGUCUAUUAAAGUAAUUUCAUAAAUUUUUAAUAAAAACUCUUAUUGACAACCAAACAACUAAUUUUUUUUAGCAAAACCUCUACUUAAAUAAGUUCUACUUGAAAAACUGUAUCAAACGGAGCUUAAAGUUAAUAGUCUCUUAUCUCCCACAUUUGAUAUCUUAAUGGUAUCAGCGUGUUACCUAAGAUUGGGAUUCAUUAAAAUCCUCAAUGUAAUCGGUGGAAUGAAAUGGAUUUUUAUAACCUCCUUGAAGGUUUUACGAUAAACAUAAAUCUAUUGACAAAGUGGGCAAAAAGAAAAUGCAUAUAAAAAUAUGAGUUAUCAGAUAAGAUUAAAACUCACCCAAUUCAAUCCAUCAGAUUCCGUAAGGAUAUAACUGGAUGUCAUACCGCCACUCCAUAUCCUCGAAAGUCCGUAGUCCUUGUCUCAACUGUGUCUGGGGCCAGUGUAAGUCCAAUUUGCGCAAGCUCUUUAUGCACCACAGCUCUUCUGGAAGCUUUCUCAAGUAAGCACAUGGGUUGACAAUUAAGCUUUCAAGUUUCGGCAUUGCUCCAGCCCCCAUCGUCCACUCAUCUAGCCAAUACAUUGAUUUCAAGUGCAAAACCUUAAGUUCGGAAAAGCUACUCAAGCCAACACAAGCAAGCUUUCUUCCUAAAUACGAGUUCUGCUUCAGUUUCAGCACUCGAAGGCAUGGAAGAUUUUCCAGAAUUGGCAUGGGAUCCUCCAUUAGCUCAGUAUUUGAUAAGCUCAGUUGGAUCAGACUUGGGGGAAAUUGGUAUUCAGACAGGACAAUCCGUGAGGGCUUGCUCUCAUUCACCAGCUUCAAGCAUUCAAGUUUGUGGAGUUCGCAAAGGCUUUUGGAAACCCCAGAUUGAUAGCAACUCAAAUCUCCAGAUAUCCGAAGAGUCUGAACACUAGGUAGUCUGCCCAAUAUAUCAGGAGUACAACUACUAGGGUUUAAAGCUGAUAUGAAAAUGAGAUUUUUCAGAGAGCUAGAAUAAUUUUUUGGAGGUGCGGGCAGAGUGAUAGAACCAAAGUUUAGAUGCAUGAGUUUUUGCAUCAUCCAAAUAUCCUCUGGUGACUGAUCUAUGUAGCUAGAUGGCAUUUCUAGUGUUUCAAGGUUUAAAAGGGUGCAUAGCAGUGAAGGAAGGCAUUUGAGCGAAGGGAUAUUCAAUUUCAAAUACUUCAAAAGGAAUGAAUUUUCUAAUCCGGGUGGAUAUUGGUCCAGGACUGCAGAACCCAUGCUCAAUACCCGAAGGUAUUUGAACCAUUUAAAAAAAUUCUCGCAAUCUUUCGGAUUAAGAUGAUCGCUUUCUGAACUGUGAUUCAGAAAAGAUUGGAGAUAGAUGUAAGAAUAUUCUAAAGAAAAGAAGUCAAUCAGAUUUUCCCAAAUGAUGUACCGUUUAACAUUUGCCCUUGAUUCCUUUUCCAUUCCAGGCAUCCAGAGAAAUCCCGUCUCCUGUGCCAACAAUAACAAUGAAGUAUAUACAAAACUUGGAACAUAACACGCUUUAAUUGUGCCUCCGGCGCUUCUCUUACUCACUUGAAUGAAGCCGCGAUGGAUUAGUUCUUUCAAGUAAUGUUCGGCACUUUCUUCACCGUUGUAUGGUAUGAAACCUUCAGCUACCCACAACUGAUAUAAUUGCCGCGUGGAUAUCUCAAUACUUGGAGGGAAGACACACAAAUAGAUGCAGCAGACUUUCAAGUGAAAAGGCAAGUCCAUCACAGAAAAAAUUUGCCUCCAAAUUGUCGGAAUCGCUUCGCCUUGAACAUAAUUUUCUAAUGGCAUACUUCCAUAGUGUAGGAUGAAAAAUUGCCAGGCUUCAUGCUUUAAUCUGAUCAAUGGUCCUCCAAUGAGCACCGAAUCAAGCCGAAUCUUCUCUCCAUUUUCCAUUUCCAACGACGCAAGGAGGUCUGGAUCAGUGACCAAUAUCAAUACUCUGCUUCCAUUCUGAUUAUUUGGAAGAACUUCUUCAAGAUCAUCCCAUAUCUCAAUGUUAUCGCAGACAUCAUCAAGCACAAUAAAGUACUUCCUGUUUGUUAGGUAAUCUCGAAGAAUAGAUUCCUUGAAUUGAUAAUCUUCACCGAUAAUUACACUAACCCGAGAUGGAGGCAUCACAGACUUGAUUAUGUCAUCCAAUAGCUUGCCCAAAUCGUAGAAUACAGAAACCCUGACCCAAGCAAGACAGUCAAAAUAGAACUUGACAUGAUUAUUGUUGUAAGUAUCUGCAGCAAAAGCAGUCCUAUCGAAGCCACUGCUGUCGAGAAUUGCAACCACUGAAAGCCCAGAUGGUCCCUCAAUCAAUACAUCAAACAACUUCUCUCUGCCCCUUUCAAAUUCACUGAUAUCGAGCCGAGGUUGUCCCUCAUUCAAUAGGUGAAUGAUUUCGUUACUUUUUUCACUGAUAUCAAAACCAUUGUCGCCGGGUGGGAGUUGUUGGAUCCGAUUUCUAAUAUCAAUGAUUUUACUGUGGAGUCCAAAAAGAAGAGCCAUUUUAGUACUGCUUUCACUUUCGUUUUGACUGUUUUGCUGCUGCAUGAUGUUGAUGAAGAAUGUGUCAAUGGCUUCCUCAGAUUCAUGGACAAAGUCAUUGAUGUCCUCCAGAAUUUCCAAAAUACCUCCUCUUUUAACGUCUUCAUCGCUUUCUUGUGCCUGCAACAGUUGCGAAAAAGGCAAAGAUAAUUUGGAUUCAUCGAAUCGUUCUUUAACAAGUUGAAACAAAAGCCGAGCCAUGUCAGAUUCAAAGUUUCCGAGCAGAGUGGUAGCAAUAAUCUCGGACUCCGUUAGAAGGUUUUGAAAAAGGGGAGUUAAAUUUGUUGAAUCAGGCAAAGUCAACGCGCAUUCUUCACCUGCUAACACCCUUUUUAACCUCUCACAAAAUAGUCGGAGGUGGACGUCCAGCAUAUCUCCUUCUGUCUGUAGCGCCCAGAGGUAUUGUUAUUUGCUACAAGAAAUGUUAAAACAUAGAGUAAUGAUACAGCCACAAACUCUUGUACAAACUUAUUUUGUACAAACUAAAAUGGCAUUAAUUCAUUGGUUGAAUGAAAAUAUAAAAUAAUAAAAACAAAUCAUGUGGGCCAAGUGAUAUUUAAUUCAACCAAUCUUAUCAUGCCACGUCAAUUUGUACAAAAUAAGUUUGUACAAGAGUUUGUGGCUAUAUCAUUACUCUAAAACAUAUCUCCUUCUGUCCUAUCUCAAAGUGGUUAGUGGUGUAAAAUUAAACACCAUGGAAGAAUUUGCAAGGAAUAUGCCAAGAAACUGGCCAACCCGCUUAGCUAAAUUCCACAAAUAUGACGUUAUUGCUCAUUUUUCUCUCAAACACAUAAUACACGUUCUUCGAGGCGCGUGCCUUCUGAAAAGGACAGGUAUCCAACCUCAUCUUAAUUUAAAGAAUUUUCCUUUAAAAAAAAUUUAAUAUCAAAAUGCCUUCAAUGUUAUUACUGCCGAAAGCCAAACUUCCUUUGGGUAAUUAAUUUAGAAGUUAAGCAGAGAAUAAAGUCCUAGAUUAAAUGUUUAGGUAGUUUUACAAAAUGAUAACAGCAUGCCAAAACUCGUUGUUGUCAUAUUCGACAUUUCAAAUUGAAAAAUAUGCAAGCAAUCUUCAGUGAACAUUACAUGUUUAUUGAAUAAUUUAAAUGGCCAGUAAAUCAACAGUCCGUGAGUUUUAAAUCUAUUAUGACUUAAUGUAUCUUUCUGUAUUCGUACACAGGUUAUAUUAUCAUAGUUUAAAAUUAUUUUAAAUAUUAAAAAUACUUUAAUGCUAUUAGUCUACUACACAGGUUAUAUUAUUUAUAUUAUAUUUGUAUUAAUUAAAACUUUUAAUGUCAAUUUUCUAAUUAUUAUAUUAAAAAAGUAUUAUGGUUAAGAAAAAGUUUUGGCAUUUCUUCUUGAAAAUUUGAGAGUCUGCAUGAAAAUUUUUCCAAAUUCUAAAGGUAUAGGUUUGAAAAUUUAACGUUCUGUAAAUUAAUGAAACAAAAGGGGGGAAACCAAAAACUAUUCAAUUUUGUAUUUUUUGUUUGUAAUUCAAAAAAUACAUCCACCAAACAAGUUUUACGCAUUAAUGCUGUCAUAAAACGAAAAACAGUUUGCCAAAAAAUGGUACCAAACAUUUCCUUAAUGUCUCACAUGAUUUCUUAGUAAGUCCAUAUUAGAUAUAUUUAUACAUUUUAUGUAUUUUAGUUAUAAAAGAAGUAGGUCCUCCCCCUGUUUAUAAAAAAUAACUUUAUUUCGAGAUUGCCACUAAACUCUUACAUAGAAUUAGUGUAAUGUUAAGAGAGAGUAACACAGUUUUCCAUUACCAUCUUUGAAAAUAGAGAGAUAUGGAUGCAUGCAUUUAAGAGUUAUCAUGAAAAUCAUACAAUUCAAUUUCCUGACAUAUAUAUUUAUGCACGUAUACCAAAAGAAUAAAUAGACAGAAAGUAAAUUUACAGUCCUCACUUCCUCACAAUUGUUAACGUGAAGAUGCAUUACAACUGUGAACUGUCACUACUUUAGCCUUUUUUUUUAAAAAAAAAAAAUUAUAGUGUGAUGGAGACAUCAAGGAUGAGCAUAAAAGUUAAAGAUGACUCAUUUUCUUUUUAAAGUGCUCUGCUGAAAGCCAAACUUCCUUUGGCUAAUUAAUUUAGAAGUAAAGCAGAGAAUAAAGUUCUAGAUGCCUUCUGAAAUUAGAAAUACAUUUUAUAUGCUUUAAUUAUGAUUAUUUGGUAGACUAUUGACCUAAAAGACAUGUUAAAUUAUAAAACAGUGCGAUUAAAAAAAAGAGAGUAUUUGUGACGUAGAAUAACAAUUGGUAAAUAAAUCCUAAAUAUUUGAGUUGUUAAAAGCAAAUAUAACAGAGACGGUAAGAGAGAUGCAGAAACAGAAAACUAUUAGCUUAUCUUGAUUUUCCCACUAUAUUCAUUUUCGAUGCUUUUCAAACGAGAUUCUUUUAAUUCUUCUGGUGUCUGCAGCCCCUGCUCUUCUUAUAGAUCUCCAUCCCACAUCUGCACUACGAACAAGUUGAUUAAAAUUAAAUAAUGUUGGAGACGUGGGGUGAGCCGUCAACUUGGUAAAAAAACUAUGUAUAAUAUUGUUAAUAAUAUAAAAUAUAUAGUAAUAAUUACAAAGAAUCAUAAAUUAGAAAAAUUAAUUAUUUUACAAUCUAUUUCUUAAGUAAGAUAAAUCUCAUAAUAAGUUAAGUUAUAAUGUAAAAAGUAUUUUCAAUUUAUAAUCAUUUAAGAAGUCAUUUAACAAUAAAAUCUUUCUUUUGAUCAAUUGGUCAUGCUACAAAGUAUCAUCUAUAUUUGUGGUGAUAUUAUUAUUACUCCGUAUUCUCAAAAAACAUGAUUUAACAUUUAGAGAAAAUUCAUGCCUUUUAAAAAGAACAUGUAUGCAACAACUACCAAUACUUUAUCUUACCACAACAAAACUAAUGGUGACUAAAUCAAUUUUCUUGAUUAAAGCAAAAUUUCUUAAAAUUGAUUUAAUGCACAAAUAUGAUGACUUUUUGCAAAAAUUAGUUUCGGAAAAUAUAGUGAGAGAAAAUAGUGACGAUUAUUGUUUAGAUGUGUAAAUAGCCUAAACAUGAUCGCUAAUACCAAUAUCCACGUGCAUCUUAACACCUUUCGUGAUAUUCUUUCAUUCAUGGUCACUGGUUCAAGAUUUGAAUUUAAUCAGUAAAUCAUGUUCAAUAAUAUUAGAGAUCCCAACAAUUGAGUACCAAUUUAAAUCCUAAUGCUAUAUGUCAUUGACCAAUAUUGUGUCAUUUUUUGUUAACUGGGUGAUGAAUUUCUAGUUGAUAAAAUUACUUAAAAAUAUCUUAAAAAUCAGACAAUAGUUUGCUUAAUUUUUUGAAGCUAACUGCUCAAGAUGCUCUAUUAGAAAUGAUAACCUAAUUAUAUACAUAAAAAAUGAUGUAUUUUUUGCGGUGUUGAUAGUGAGAUUAUCAUUCAACAUGUUAAAAUAUGAAAACAUAUGGAAGAUGGUUGUAAAUUGGUUGAAUGAGAAUAUUUCAGUGAAGUCUCAAAAAUUUGGUACUUGUUAUCUUAUCGAAAGUUUUCUAAAUUAUAUUCGUGGCACUGCCACUGCUUCUAUGUGAAGGUCAUUAAAAUUUGUGUUAGCUACCUAUAGGUUGAAUAACAAUUUUAUUCAUCAAUUGUUGCUCAAUAUAGCAAUUUGAUUGAAAGUGCCGCUGCACUAAUUUUCUAGAUGAACUUUCCUACAUGUUUGUCCUCAUAUGACCUAGAAUGCUGCGAUAUCAAUUGUAUUGGAAAUUAUUCAGGUGGGUUAGUGCUCUACAUCCCCACCAAAAUAUAAGCAAUGAACAAAACAUUCCUUGUGGAAAUAAACUUAAUUAUUUCGCUACUAGACUUCUAAUGAGGCCCAUUUUCCAGAAUCUGGAUACAAGUUAGAUGUCUCCCAAAAUAUUGGUGGGAGUAGACUAUAGUAGCACUCGACAACAUACUAACGACGCUAUGGUCCACCAGAAAGACCGGUCUCCGGUCAGCCGAAAAAUCUCACGUUCAGUCUCUUCUCAAUCUCCCUUCUCCCAGCCAAGUCGAUCCCGUAACAUGAUACUAAUCCACAGUUGAAUACAUGAUACUAUUAGAUCUUAUUUGAGAAUAUAAAGGGAUCUUUCUAAUUUGAGAACAUAAAUUGCCCAAUAAAGUUGAACUACGUUACCCCGCUCCAUGCACAUACAUUAAAUGUUAACAGCAUGCCAAAACUUGAUGUUGUCAUAUUCGACAUUUCAAAUUAAUAUGCAAGCAAUCUUCGGUGAACAUUACGUUUUUAUUGAAUAAUUUAAAUGGCUAGUAAAUCUAGAGUUCUUGAGCUUUAAUCUAAAUCAAAUCUAUUAUGACUCAAUGUAUUUUUUUGUAUUCGUACCAGUAAUGCAGGGGAUUAUUUACGGAACUCUUAUUAUUGACUGAUAUGUUCACCUUCAUCCAAUUAGAGAAAGAGUGACUGUAGAGGUGGCAAAAAUACCCGUCCGGUUCGGACCCGGACCGUACCCAUUACCCAGCCCGGGUAUGAAGCCGGGUCGGUCUUGGGUAUUACUUGAUAAACCCGGAACUCGGAUUUUAUUAAAAAAAUUAUAAAAUAUAUAUUAUUUUAAAUAUUUUAUAUUUAUUUGACUCAUUUAUUAUACAUAUAUAAAGUUUUAAACACUUAAAGUAUAUAUUUUCUUGUCAAAUUUUAUUGAAAUAAAUUUAAAACUUAUAAAAUUACUAAAAAAUAAAAAAUAUAUACACAUAAAAUAUUAAAAAAUAUAAAAUUCGGGUACUCGAAUUAAAACCCAGCCCGAACCCGGACCCAGACCGGUUGCAUCCGGUAGGGUCCGGUCAUGGCAAUACCCUGACCCCGCCCGGGGUUUUGCCAUCUCUAAGUGACUGGGUUCCUAUAAAGGGACUCUUAACCGUUACGAGAGUAUUCAGACUAAAAAUCUUUAUAAUUAAAUUCAAAGGUGAAGAUCUAUGCUUAUUAUCUAUUUAACAACUAAUAUAUAGUUAUCUAUUCAUUUAAAUAUCAAGGGCUAUGCUAAUAAUUAAGUUGAAAUGUUGAUGAAAGUAGCCCUACAUCUGUAUAUUACUCAUCUACUCUAAUCUUUUUUUUUUUUUAACUUAAUGUACUUUUUCUAAUGUUGUUUACUCUUCCCCCCCCCCCCCUCCUCUGACAAAAUAAUAAGAGUUUAGACUUGAAAAUAUCUUAAAGAUCAAACAGUAAUUUACCUAAUUUUUUGAAGCUAACUGCCAAAGAUAUUCUAUUAGACAUUGAUAACGUAGUUAUAUACAUUUAAAAUGAUUUUUUUUUUUUGUGGAAAGGGAUUAUCAUUCAACAUUUUAAAAUAUGAAAACAUAUGGAAGAUGAUUGUAAAUUGAUUGAAUGAAAAUAUUUCAAUGAAGAUGGUUGUAAAUUGUUAUCUUAUUGAAAGUUUUCUAAAUUUACUACUAUUUGAACUUAGCCCUCCUGGUACCGCCACCAUUUCUGCUUGAAAGUCAUUUAAGUUUGUGUUAGCUGCCUAAAGCUUUUUUUUUUUCUUUUUCUUUUUGAAAAGAGCUGCCUAUAGCUUGAAUAACUAUUUUGCUCACGAAUUGUUGUCCAUUAUAGCAAUUUAUUUAAUUGAAAGUGCGGCUGCAAUAAUUUUCUUGAUGAACUAUUCCACAUGUUUGUUCUCAUGUGAGGCAGUUUUUCUAGAAGAUUGAUAUUUCUUUAAGUCUUUAACUAGCAAAGCAUACCAGUCCAAAGCUAGCCAAACCAUACCUGCUGGUCCAGGGCUUAAAUGGAGUACUUCUAAGCAUAAAACAGUAACAAAAACACAAUAUAUGCAUACAUACAUACCAGCAAAUUCAAAAUAGAAAAAAGAGUGCAACUAUUCAAGAAAUUGGUUAUUGUAGACAAACACACAUACAAACACAUACCAGAAAAUUCAAAAAAUAGAGAAAGGAGGCCAACUAUUCAAGUUUGUAGACAAUAUUGCAAUCAUGGCAUUACUUAUAGCAAGUCCUUGAAAUCUACUAAACAAAACAAUGCUCUGUCUCAUGAAUCAAUGUUGAAUUACAGACGAAAUUGAAAGUCUAGCAGGUGUUGUUUCCCUCUUCGAUUUUGCCUACACAAGUAAAGGGAAAUAAGAAUCAUAAAUGAAAAUCAGCUUUUACAGUUGUAAUUAUUAGAUAGAUCUAGAACGAUCUUUCUUUGUUUCUCUGCUGCAAUGUGCUAUCCCACUCUGUUUUGCUACUAAAAUUGAGUCUAUGUUGAGACAUAAUUUCGACACUAGGAGCAACCGCAAUUAGUUUGGCAUUGCAUUACCCCUUGAAGGUUUUACAAUAGUUGUAAACUUACCGAGAAAGUAGAAAAAAAAGGGCAUAUGGAAUUAGGCAAGUAACUAAAGUAUGAGUCAUCAGAUAUGAUUAAAACUCACCCAAUUCAAUCCAUCAGAUUCCGUAAGGAUAUAACUGGAUGUCAAAACGCCACUCCAUAUCCUCGAACGUCCGUACCCUUUGCCGCAACUCUGUCUGGGGCCAGUGUAAGUCCAAUUUGCGCAAGCUCUUUAUGCACCAUAGCUCUUCUGGAAGCUUCCUCAAGUAAGCACAUGGGUUGACAAUUAAGCUUUCAAGUUUUGGCAUUGCUCCUGCCCCCAUCGUCCACUCAUCUAGCCAAUACAUUGACUUUAGGUGCAAAAUCUUAAGUUCCGGAAAGCCACCAGAGUCAACACAGGCCAACUUUCUUCCUAAAUACGAGUUCUUCUUCAGUUUCAGCACUUGAAGGCGUGGAAGCUUUUCCAGCUUUGGCAUGGGAUCCUCCAUUAGCUCAGUAUUUGAUAAGCUCAGAUGGCUCAGACUUAAAGGAAAUUCGUAUUCAGACAGGACAAUCCGUGAGAGCUUGCUCUCAUUCACUAGUUCCAAGCAUUCAAUUUUGUGGAGUUCGCAUACGCUUUUGGAAACCCCAGAGUGAUGGCAACUCAAAUCUCCAGAUAUCUGAAGCGUUUGAACAUUAGGUAGUCUGCCUAAUAUAUCUGGCGUGCAACUACUAGGGUGUAAGGAUGAUAUGAAAAAAAGAUUUUUCAGAGAGCUGGAAUAAUUUUUUGGAGGUGCAGGCAGAGUGAUGGAACCAAAGUUCAGAUGCAUGAGUUUUUGCAUCUUCCAAAUAUCCUCUGGUGUUUGAUCUACGUAGCUAGAUGGCAUGUCUAGUGUUUGAAGGUUUGAAAGGGUGCAUAGCGGUGAAGGAAGACAUUUGAGCGAAGGGAUAUUCAAUUUCAAAUACUUCAAAUGGAAUAAAUUUUCUAAUCCGGGUGGAUAUUGGUCCAGGACUGCAGAACCCCUGUUCAAUACCCGAAGGUGUUUGAACAUUUUACAAAAAUUCUCGCAAUCUAUCGGAUUAAGAUGAUCGCUUUCUGAACUGUAAUUCAGAAAAGAUUGAUUAGUUCUUUCAAGUAAUGUUCGGCCGUCCCCUCACUGUUGUAUGGUAUGAAACCUUCAGCUACCCACAACUAAUAUAAUUGUGUGGUAGAUAUCUGAAUGCCUGGAGGGAAGACAAACAAAUAGAUGCAGCAGACUUUCAAGUGAAAAGGUAACUCCAUCACAGAAUAAAUUUGUCUCCAAGCUGUCGGAAUCGCUUCGCCUUGAAAAUAAUUUUCUAAUGGCAUACUUCCGUAGUGUAGGACGAAAAAUUGCAAGCCUUCAAACUUUAUUCUAAUCAGUGGUCCUCCAACGAGCACUGAAUCAAGCCGAAUCUCCUCUGCGUUUUCCAUUUCCAACGACGUAAGGAGUCUUGGAUCAGCGACCAAUAUCAAUACUCUGCUUCCAUUCUGAUUAUCAGGAAGAACUUCUUCAAGAUCAUCCCAUAUCUCACUGUCAUCGAAGACAUCAUCAAGCACAAUAAAGUACUUACUGUUUGUUAGGUAAUCUCGAAGAAUAGAUUUCUUCAAUUGAUAAUCUUCACCGAUAAUUACCCUAACCCGAGCUGGAGGCAUCACAGACUUGAUUAUGUCAUCCAAUAUCUUGCCAAAAUCGUAGGCAAUAGAAACCCUGACCCAAGCAAGAGUCAAAAUAGAACUUGACAUGAUUAUUGUUAAAAGUAUCAGCAGCAGAAGCAGUCUUAUCGAAGCCACUGCUGUCGAAAAUUGCAACCACUGAUAUCGAUAGAUCAAACAACUUCUCUCUGCCCUUUUCAAAUUCACUGAUAUCGAGCCGAGGUUGUCCCUCAUUCAAUAGGCGAAUGAUUUUGUUACUUUGUUCACUGAUAUCAAAACCAUUGUCGCCGGGUGGAAGUUGUUGCAUCUGAUUUCUAAUAUCAAAGUGAAAAAUUGCUGCUUUCACUUUCGUUUUCACUGUUUUGCUGCUGCAUGAUGUUGAUAUUGACAUAAUUUUAUUUUAGUUUUUGGGGAAAAAAAUAUUUGUUGACAAGCAAGAAAAUAUUUUUAUAUUUUAAAUUUAUUAUACAUAUUUUAUCAUUUUAAAGUAAUUUUAAUAAUAAAUAGAAACAUAAUAUUACGAUAAAUAAAUUAAAGUUUAAAUUAUUUUAAAUAUUAUAAAAAAUAAUUCUAAUAUUAUUAAUAGGAAGACAUUUUGUUAAUUUUAAAAUUUUUUAACCCAAAGGUUUAUUUAAAAUUUUUAUUAUAAAUAAAAAUAUAAAAUUAAAUAUCAUAAUUUAAAUUUUUUAAUAUUAUUUAAGUAUUAAAAAUAUUUUAAUGUUAUUAGUCUACUACAUAGAUCAUAUUACUUAUAUUAUAUUUGUAAUGAUUAAAAAUUUUUAAAAUCAAUUUUCUAGUUACUAUAUUCACGAGAUAUUAUGGUUAAAGAAAAGACCUUGGUGUUACUUUUUACAAAUUUGAGUGCCUACAUGAUAAUUUUUUCAAAAUUUAAGAAUGUAUGUAUCCUUUUCUCCAAUAAUUUAUUUCACUUUUGAGGGGAAUCCAAUGAGAGAUAUGAUAAGAGAACGUCAAUUAGUUGUCAUUUUCUACUUUUUCUGUAAGCUAUUUAUUUUGAGCAUUAGUGAUCUUGUCUGGACUACUCCAAUUAUUGAUGUAACUCCAGUGACUGCAUCCACAAUUGAAUAUAUGAUAGUGUUAGCUCUUAUUUGAGAAUUUAUAUAGUCUUGCUGUUAAAGAACUCACUGAGGCAUUAUUGAUUCAAUUUCAGUGGAGCAAUCGCGGGUGAAGGAUAAAUAAAGGAUCAGAACAGAGCUGAAGUGCUAAAUUGGCUAUUGAAGAAGGAUGUCACAUGAUCACAAUCACAUUGAUGCACAACUCUCUGGAGGCAAAUUUUGUCUUUAUGUACUCUAAAUUCAGCCAAACCAUACAUGCAUGAACAAAAAUUAAACCGUCGUUCUAAUCACAACAGUAAUUGAAGCUCCAAAAGCAAGAAAAUCUGAACAAAGACUUAAAAGAAAGAUCUUAUUCAAGUUUGUCCCCAAAAGACAGCUGAAAUGAAAAAUAUUGACUAUUGAAUGGAUCAAUGCUGAAUUACAUUUGAAAUGGAAAGCUUGGCUGCAUCUAUGAUGUUUCCCCCUCUGAUUUUCCCCCAAAACAAAUUUAGUUGUAAACAAUAACGGAAGCAGCAAUAAUUUAUUCACCAAAGAAAAUGCCCAAGAUUUCAACUAACAGAUCCUCUUAUCUAAACUAAAAGAACUCAUAUCUCUAAAAUCUACCCGCAAAAUGUUGGAAAUGAGGGAUGAUCUGUCAACUCGAUAAAUAAACUCAUGCAUAAUAUUAACAAUAAUGGUAAAUUACAUAAUAAUUAUUAUAAAGAAUCAUAAACUGGAAACACUAAUCAUUCUACAAUCUAUUAUAUAAGUAAGAUAAAUCUCAUGAUAAGUUAAGUUAUAACGUGAUAAAUAUUUUCAAUAUAUAAUUAUUUAAGAAGUCAUUUAAUAAUAUAUAUUUUUUAUUUUGUUGAUCAUGUCAUAUAGCGUUAUCUAAACUCCUGACAAAAUUAUUAUUACUCACUUUUCUCAAAAAAACAUGAUUAACGUUUAGAGAAAAGUCAUGCCUUUUAGAAAGAAUAUGUAUACAAGCUAUCCAUACUUUAUCUUACCGUGACAAAAUUGAUGGUGAUUAAAUCUAUUUUUAAAAUAGAUUUAAUGCACAAAUAUGAUGACUUUUGGCAAAAAUUAGUUUCGGAAGAUAUAGUGGUAGAAAAUAGUGAUGAUUAUUGUUUAAAUGUGUAAAUAGCCUAAGCAUAGCCCGUAAUACCAAUAUCCAUUUGCACCUUCAUUUGGAUUAUCACAUUUCAUGAUAUUUUUUCAUUCAUGUCCAUUGAUCAAGAUUUGAAUUUGAAUAUAAAUUAAGCUGCAAGGGAGCUUACUUCGGUUUCUAAGCUUUCCAAUUGUGAUUCCUGCAUGCCUUGCUCUGAUACUAUUUUGUUACAUACCAAUGUAACCAACCUUGUAAUUGGUCUGUAUAAGAAAUCAAGCCCUUUUAGAAUCGUUUUCUUUUGUUUCCCCAUUGUAGUAGUCAACUAAAUAAAGAAUGAACAACUGAACUUGAUCUAUUUUGAUGAAGACCAAGGCCUUCAAUACUAGAUGAACUUUGAAGAAGAUUAAUCUACUGCUUUUAUUCAUCUUUGGACUAUGAAUUUAUACAAAGACUUUAACAGAAAAUAACAAAGACACAACUAAAUGAUAGCAACAAGUGUUGACUUACUGGACCACUUCUACAAGUAAAAAAAAACUAAAUAUUUAUUUUGACUAUAACAACAACUACCCUGAUGAACAACACUCCACAGCAGCCACGUGACAACUAAUUUCUCCUUAAUAUUAUUAUUAGUAGAAGUAGAUUUUCAAACUAGUCUUGAUAUAUUUCAAAGUUGUAUUAACAAUUUAUAUGUAUCUAGAUUGUAACUAUAUUUUUUAAAAAUAAAAUAUUUUAAUUAUUGCACAUUAAAUGUAGAAGAAUAUCUGUAAAAUAAUAUUAUUAGGACUAAAAAAUAUUAUUUUAGAUAAGUUAUUUAUUUAUUAUUGAAUUAAUAAUUUAUUAAUUAUUAGCAGAAGUAUAUUUUCGAACUAGUCUUGAUAUAUUUCAAAGUUGUAUUAACAAUGUAUAGGUAUCUAGAUUGUAACUAUAUUUUUAAAAAAUAAAAUAUUUUAAUUAUUGCACAGUAAAUGUAGAAGAAUAUCUGUAAAAUAAUAUUAUGAGGACUAAAAAAAUAUUAUUUUAGAGAAGUAUUUUUUUAUUAUAGAAUUAAUAAUUUAUUAAUUAAUUUAUAAAUGAAUAUUUAUUAAUUUAAAGAGAGACUUUUUUGGUUUUAUGAAGAGUAUGUUUGGUACAUGUUCACACUUAUAAAGAAACACAAAAAAUGCUUCCUCAAGUCAACGGUAUUUGCUUUAAUCGCUACUGUUCAUAAUAAUAUAGCUUAGUUAGGAAAUUUGUAAUUAUAAUAUGACUCUUUUAGUACAACUUUUCAAGUAGAGUUUAUUUAGGUAGAGAUUUUGUUAGGAGAGGUAUUAUAAAUAGAGAUUUCACUAAAAAAAUUUAAUUAUUUGAUUAUAAUAUCCAAAUUGAAGAACUUUUGUUCUUUUGUUAACAUCUGUUUGUUUUACUUAAUAAUAAAAGUUUAGUUUACAAUUACACCGGUGUCAAAUCAGCAGAGCAUCGGCAAGAGUUUUCGAUUGUUGCAAUUUGCAAUGCAUGCGGUACAUGCACGCACUAAUAAAGAAACACAAAAAGUGCAUUCUCAAGCCAAUAGUAUUUGUUUUUAAUCGCUACUUUGCAUAAUAAUGUAGCUUAGUUAGGAAAUUUGUAAUUAUAUUAUGCCUCCAUUUGGUAUAAUUUUUUAAUUAGAACUUAUUUAAGGAGAACUAUUGUUUGUAGAGUUUUUAUAAAUAGAAAUUUUAAUUAAAAAAAAUUAUAAUUAUUUAGUUGUCAAUGUCCAAAUUGAUGAACUAUUGUUCUUUUUGUUAACAUGUGUUUGUUUUACUUAAUAAUAAAACUUUAGUUUACAAUUACACCGGUGUCAAAUCAGCAGAGCAUUUUUGCAGCCCGUCACAUUAUACAUUAUACUAAUAGCAUCGGCAAGAUUUUUCGAUUGUUGCAACUUGCAACGCACGCGAUGCGAGAAAAUGAGAAUCUUGUUUAAUUGUGAAUAAUGACAAACCUAAUCCUUUCAUUAGGAGCAAUUUAAUAAUCGUUUGUUAUAAUUGAAUAGGUAUAAAGAAAGGACAACUCUAUUCAUAGAUUCGGCUUAUUUUUUGUUUAAAGUAAUUAAUCCUCUAAAACUGAAUUUUAUUUUAUCUGGUGCAUGUUAAAUGAUGUGAGGCCUAAUUUAGGUUUUUGGUUAGCGAAUCAAUUUCAAAGUGUGCUUAAACGGUAUAGGACUUUAUUUCCUGGUCCAUACAUUACUCUGUUAGCUAUAAACCUAUGUGUGCUUGAUCCCGACAAUAAUGAUUUGCAUCCUGCUUGCAAAAAGGAAUUUUUGGAUAUGUCUGUGUUUGAAAGAACAGGUGUGGUCGAAUUCAAGAAGGGGAGAUUUUAGUUUACUGAACCAGGACCCACUCAACUUCCGAAGAAGCUUUAUGCUAGGAGUGGUGCUACCUCUGAUGACGAGUUUGACGACGACACUGCUGCCCCGCCAACUAUUCCUUCUACAUCCGCACCACCUUUGAGCAUUCAGUUAGAGAAAAUGGAGCACAAGCUGAACAAGAUGGAGCAGAAUUUGGCCGCAUACUUCGAGAGUGUGGGAUUUACCCCACCAUUUUCGCCAAGCCCAUAGACGUUAUGUGGAUCAAAGCUCACAAUUCAGGGAAGUUUCUUUUUGCCCUUAAUCUUUUAUCCUUACGCUUUAAUUUUUAUGUGAGCUUUGAUUAUCUUACAUUGGGGACAAUGUAAGUUCUUGGUGUGGGGGAGGGAUUUUGAUGUCUGGAAUUAUUAUUUUCACUCUACUCAUAUAUUUUCACUCUACUCAUCCUUAAAUGAUUUUGGAGUUAGUAUGCUUCAUACAUUAUUAAUUUUCUUUUCCUCUCUCUCUCACUACUCUUUUCCCAUCUAUCUCAAAUUAUUUACAUCUAUUUUUAUUCUAUCAUACUCUUUCAUCACUCACAUUUUAUCUUUCACUUUUCAUAUUACUACAUACAUCUUUCUCACUUCUUAUCAUUUUUACAUUUUCUUUUAUAUAUCACUCAUACCUUCUUCUCAUUCUACACCACUAUUGAUGGUUGAUUCAUUUGAAGAGUGUACAUGAUUUGAUGGCAAAUUUACCAACUUUGUGAGGAUUUGAGCCUAUGAGCAACCACUUUGCUCUAAUAUUUUUGUUGUGUGAAUAUCAAUCUUAGUUUGUUUAUUGUAGAACUUGCUUUGUUAUGCAUGUUGAAGCCGCAUUACGGGAUUUUAUGCAUUAAAAUGAUAAGGGCAAACCCUUUUCCAUUUUUCUAUUCUCGCAUUUUUUUUUCUCUACCCGAAGACCUUUAUUUGCUAUCUUUGUUUGAGCCUUAACCAUUACCCACCUAAUUUUCUCCGUCUACUUAACCAUUUUUCUUCUUUUUGAGCCUCAAUUUACGGAGAUUUUUGGACUCAUUGUGUGGAUGUAUUUUGUUGCUUUUUCUACCUUGUAAUAAAGUUUCUCAAUUAGAUCAACAAGCAUUAUGCUUGAAUUAAAUUGUGCAAGGUUCGUUUCUUUUGUUUGAUUCAAAAAUAAAAAAAAACAACAAAAAAAAAGAAAAAGAAAAAUCCAAAAAAAAGAAAAAAAAAUGUUUACAUUCUUGGUGACUUGAGUAGAAAUAAGUAUUUUGAUAUCAUAAGUUCAUUCAAUGAGUUCAUUCUUCUCAUUUUGAUCUCUUUUUCUUUCGUAAACCUUUCUUUUUCAUUCAACCUAUUUAACCCCAUUACAACCCUUUUAAGACCCUUAGAUUUUUGCAUUUUAUUCAUGUUUUGUGGAUUGAGAUGUGAUAUAUGAGCAAGCUUAUGGUAAUAGCAUUCUUUGAUUUGAUUUGAGUGAAUAAAUGACACCCUAAACACUUUGAGUGCAUGGAGUGAAGUUAUUGAGAGGGCUAUUAAAUCUUGUUGCACUUGAAUUUUGAAUGGAUCUUCUUGGUGGUUGAAUGUUCUUAUUCUAUCUUAUGAAAUUCUAUGCUUUAAAAUCCUUGUCUCUUGAAUGUUGAUCGACUUAAUUUCUUGAGGUAUGCUUGCUUAAAAUUGUUUUUGGAUGAGUUGAGAUGAGAAUUGAGUGGAGAUUUGAGAUUAAUCUUGAGUUAUAUGCUUGAGGACAAGCAUCAUCUUGGUGUGGGGGAAUUUGUUAGAGUGCAAUUUAUGCACUAGUUUUGCAUUGUUUACUUCCCUUAAUAUCGAUGUUUUACACUUAAUAAUAGUGAUUUACUUGUGUUUUACUUUUGUAGGUGCAAUUCUAUUGAUUGGUGAUAAAAUUGAGCUAUAAGAUGAUGUUUAAGGAUGAUUGUUCUCUUGGAGAAAUUAUGAGCGGCAGAAGAACUUUGUUGAUAAGGCGUGGGCGCGUGCUGUCAACUGCGGACCUGCAGUUUUUAGUUUAACAUGUUUUGUAUUUUUGUAAUUACGAAUUUAAUAUUUCAGAUAUUAGUAUUUUAUUUUAAAUAGAAUUCUAAAAGAGAGGAGAGAGAGAGAGUAUUUAAGGGAGGAAUCUAUUGUGAAAAAGGGGGAUUUAGAUUGGAGAAAAGAAAAUAAACCCUAAAUCUAAUUUUUCUCUUCUCUCUAUGAAGAACUAAACUUAUUUUUUCUGGUUGAAGGUUAAUGAAGCUUUGAUUCAUCACUACUGUGAGAUCUUUUUUAUGCUUUAAUUGUUUUAUUACUUUUUGGGUAAUUGUUUAUUCUCUGAAUUAGUUUCAUGAUUAUGUUUGUUAAUUAGGUAAUUGGCCACUAUUUAAUUAUCAACUUAAUCUAUUGUCAAUUAAAGGAUUCAUCGUAUGAAGAUUUUAAUGUUUGUGACAAAUAACAUAGCAGUGAGUUGUGUUAUGAGAAUAAACAAUCUAAUUUAAAUGAAUCAUCAUAUGUGUUGAUUAGGAUUUGGAUCUCUCUGGUUUUUCAGGCUGUCAAUUGAUUAAAUCCUAUGAUCGUAUCUAGGGUUGUCUAUUGAUUAGGGAAAUAUCCAACGGUCGUACCUUGGUUAUCGACUAGUUAAGGAGAGAUUGGCUAUUAGAGGGUCUCAAUAGCUAUAACCGGUCUAUUCAUAAGUAAUAAUAAUCUAUAUUUGAAUCAAUGAUCAGUAGUCGAAUCAAGCUGAGUUAAUUCCUUCAACCAGAGCUUUCUCUAAUUUGAAUUACAACUUUAAUUUGCAUUCUUGUUAUUUUAAUUUGAUUUUUAUUAUUGUCAACAAUUCCCCCAUUUUACUUUUUACGUUUCAAAAGGAUUUAAAUAAUUACCGAUCUCUGUGGACACGACCCUGCUCAAUCACUAUACACAAUUUAUUUAGAGUAUGAAUUUAUUUUUGUUGGCUUCGACAACCAUCGGUAGUAAAAGAAUUUUACUCCAAUUUGGUAAGCCCUGGUCAGCACAACAUUUGGGUAAGAAACUCACUUGUUCCAUUAGACUCUCGAGUUAUAAAUGUUUUUUAUAAUUUACCUGCUGAAAUUAAUUGUGAGUAUGCCAAGUUGCUUGACAAAUUGACCCCGCAACAAUGGAACACGAUUUUCACGACACUUACAGUAGAGGGUGCAUCGUGGGCUAAUGAGGACGGGCGUGUAAUUAACAGGAUAGAUUUAAAACUCAUUGCUAAGGUGUGGGUGAAAUUUCUGAAAUCUAGGCUUAUGCCAACCACCCACACCACUACUGUUUCACAGGAAAGGUUGGUGUUGUUAGAUGCUAUUGUUAGAGGGCUUCCCAUAGAUGUGGGAAGUAUUAUCGAAAAAGAAAUUCGAGUUUGUACCAUGAAAAACCACAAGGCUGCUGCCUUGUUAUUUCCUUCACUCAUAACCAGCAUAUGUAUAGUAUCAGGUGUUCAUCUUGAUGCAAAGGAUGAAAUUUGUAAUUAUAUUAUGGCUCCAUUUGGUAUGACUUUUUAAUUCGAACUUAUUUAAGGAGAAUUUUUAUUAGUAGAGUUUUUUAUAAAUAGAGAUUUUACUAAAAAAAUAAUUAUAAUUAUUUAGUUGUCAAUGUCGAAAUUGAUGAACUAUUGUUCUUUUUGUUAACAUGUGUUUGUUUUACUUAAUAAUAAAAGUUAAGUUCACAAUUACACCGGUGUCAAAUCAGCAGAGCAUUUUUGCAGCCAGUCACAUUAUACAUUUUUGCAACUUGCAAUGCAAGCGACGAGAGAAAAUGAGAAUCUUGUUUAAUUGUCAAUAAUGACAAACCUAAUCGUUUCAUUAGGUGUAAUUUCAUAAUCGUUUGUUAUAAUUGAAUCUGUAUAAAGAAAGGAAAAUUAUAUUCGUAGAUUCGACUUAUUUUUUGUUUAAGGUAAUUAAUCAUUCAACCAUCUUCAUUUGCCCCUGGCCACUGCCCUUGUAGAUUAGUUGAAGCGUUAAUUACUUAAUUUAGAUAAUUACAACGUCCUUUUCGCUAAUUAAUUAUGAUUAUAUACGUUUUCAUAUAGCAAGUGGCAUUGUAGAUCUAAAUUAUGUUGCUAUUUCAAUACGUUAAUUAAGUGAUUCUCCUCAUUGUCAUCAAGUGGAAAAUAGCUCAAUUGUUUCCCUGCAUCGAUUUUCAUUGGUAAGUGAUUUCUUAUGAUAUUCGUUUGAGCUUUCCUUAUUAAAAAAGCUUGAGCCUUGAUCACCUAAUACUGAUAUCAAUUUACUUGUGAACGAUUUUGUAAUGAAAUUAGGAGUUAAAUAUAUAAGAUUUUUACCUGAUGAAUUUUGAUUUUUUUUUUAAUUUUUUGAUGUAGUCAAUUUGCGAAUUUUAUAUGUUUCAUAUUCAACGGAAUUUGGGCACGGAAAGUUUGGAUUCUAAUAUUUAUAUAUUUAGCUUUAAUCAGUUUGACUUUAGCAAUCUUUUUCCCUCAUCAUUAAGGGAUUCAGAAUUAGAGAAACGCUAGGAAGAGGAAGAAAAUAACUUUGGAAAUAAGUAAGGGGGAAAAAUUAUGAAAUUUUGAAUUAUUUUUUGUAAAAUAUGUUGCGUUUACUAAACUUGAAUUAGAAUGAGCUGAAAUUAGAAUGAUUAGGAAUGCAAAUGUGCUGAAAUCGGAAUAGGUAAUGAGAAUAAGAAUAAGUUGUUUACUUGAACUGUAAAAAUCAAAAUCGAAAUGAGCUGAAUUGCAAUUACUUUAUCUUGGAAGCGGAAUUGGAAUCGGAAUGAGUUAGAUUGUAACAAAUUACUAAAAAGUACUUAAUGAAUUAUUGUCAUAAUUAUUAUUUUAUAUUUUAAUUAUAGUGAUUAUUUAUUCAAAAAUUAUUAUUAUUAAUUAUUUUCAAUAAUAUAUUAAUAUGUUAAUUAAUUUUAAAAAUUAUUAAUUAAUUUAUUAUAAUAAUAUACUAAUUAAUUAUAAUAAUUAUAAAAAUAUAUUAAUAAUAAAAUUACUAAUUUAAUUAUAAUAAUAUAUGAAUUAAUUAUAAUAAUUACUAAAUUAAUUAUAAUAAUUAUAUUAGUAAUUAUUAUAAUAGUAUAUUAAUUAAUUAUAAUAAUAAAAAUAUAUUAAUUAUGUGAUUAUUUAUUCAAAAAUUAUAAUUAUUAAUAAUUAUUGUUAAUAAUGUAUCAAUAUACUAAUUACAUAUAAUAAUUAUUAUAAAAAUAUAUUAAUUAUUAAUAAUAAAAUUACUAAUUUAAUAAUAAUAAUAAUAAUAUAUUAAUUAUGUGAUUAUUUAUUCAAAAAUUAUAAUUAUUAAUAAUUAUUGUUAAUAAUGUAUCAAUAUAUUACUUAAUUAUAAUAAUAUAUUAAUUAAGUAUAAAUGAGGACAAAGGGGGUAUUUUUAAUUUCACGUAGGGGCAAAAUGGUCAAUUCUAGUAAUGGGAGACUCACUCCCACCCUCUCCCUUGGGAAUGAGUCUCCCAUUCCUCAUUCCCAAAUUGUGGUGGGCCCCAUGAUUUUGACUCUGAUUUUUGACUCAAUUUUGCGAAGUAAACGCUACUAAUGAUUCUGAUUUUGGAUUCUGAUUCACUUAUCCGAGAAGUAAAAGCAACAUAAAUGUGUAUGAAUAAUUGAUACCUAUGAAUAGUUUUGGGAGUUUUAGUUAGGAGUCAUUUAUUGAAGAUGUUUAGCAAUUAAAGAUCUCUGACUCAGUAGUUUUCCCAAUCAAAAUCAAGAAGCAAAACAACUUGCCAUUUUUCUACUUGAUAAUUAAUUGAAAUUUAAGAAAAUACAAUGGCAUUUCAAUUAGAAAUGGUAAUUGUUUAUCUUUUUUCAUUGAUCAAAUUCUAAUCGUGAUCCAAUAGUUAUGGAUGAAGGAAAUAUUAUGAGAGGCGAUAGGCCAAGUGAAGACGUACCAGCAAAUUCAAAAUAGUCGGGAGGUGGACGUCCAGCAUAUCUCCUUCUCUCUGUAGCACCCAGAUGUAUUGUUAUUUGCUCCAAGAAAUGUUAAAAGGAUUGGCCCUAUCUCAAUGUGGUUAGUGGUGAAAAAUUAAACACCAUGGAAGGAUUUGCAAGGAAUAUGCCAAGAAACUGGCUAAGUUCCACAAAUAUGGCAUUAUUGCUCUUUUUUUUUAAAGAAAAAUUAUACACGUUAAUUUAGCAAAAAGUCUAAGACACAUGCCUUUUGAAAAGAAUAGCUAUUACCAUGACACAAUCGAUGCGGCUGAAACCAAAAUUUUCUUUUCUUAAUGUAAAGAUUUUUUUUAAAUAGAUUUUAAUAUUAAAAUGCCCUUCGAUGUUAUUACUGUCACAAGCCCUGUAACAGGAGUAAUAAAAAUUUUUAGAAUUUGUUGGGCAUGAAAAAAGUAGUAUUAAACAUCAGCAAGCAAAGGUUGUUCUGUUAAAGAAUUGAUAUUGACGUGAUUUUAUUUUGGUUAUCGAGAAAAAAAAAUAUAUUUGUUGAUAAGUAAGAAAAUAUUAUUAUAUUUUACAAUCUAUUAUACAUAUUUUAUUAUAUUAAAUAACACUAAAUAGAAACAUAAAAUUAGAAUAAAAUAAAUUAAAAUUAAAAUUAUUUUGAAUAUUAUGUAAAAAAUAAUGUUAAUAUCAUUGUUACUUGUAAAAUAUAUUUAGCCCAAAGAUUUAUUUAAAAUUUUAUAAUAAAUAAAAAUAUAAAAAUAAAUUAAAUAUCAUAGUUUAAAAUCUUAAUAUUAUUUUAAAUAUUAAAAAUACUUUAAUGUUAUUAAUCUACUACACAUGUUAUAUUAUUUAUAUUAUAGUUGUAUUAAUUAAAAAUUUUAAAGUCAACUUUCUAGUAACUAUAUUCAAAGGUAUUAUGGUUAAAUAAAGGUCUUAGUGUUUCUUUUCAAAAUUUGAGGGUCUACAUGAUAAUUUUUCCAAAUCCUAAGGUAUAGGUGUCCUUUUUAUCAAUAAUUUAUUUCACUUUUGAGAGAAUAUGAUGAGAAAUAAGAUCAGAGAAAUGUCAAUUUAAUGUUAUCUAGCUUAAUGAUAAAAAAAUGGAAACCAAGAACUAUUCAAUUUUGUAUUUUUUGUUUGUAAUUCAAAAAAUCCAUCCACCAAACAAGUUUCACGCAUUUAUGUUAUCAUAAAACAAAAAAAAAAACAGUUUGUGAAAAAAUGGCACCAAACAUACACUUAAUGUCCCACAUGAUUUCUUAUGAAGCCCAUAUUAGAUAUAUUUAUACAUUUUACUGCAUUUAGGACAUGUUUGAUAGCCUGCAUUAUAUAGGAUAAAAACACAAUUUUGUAUUAAAUUAAUGCACACUCACGUUUGGCGCUAAAAGUAACUCCAGCCACAUUGCAUUAAUGGACUGCUAAUGCGGCAAUUGCCGCACUAGCUUGCCUCUUUUUCUUUUUAAUUUUAUUUAUAAUAAUAAUAAUUACAUAAUAUAACUUUUUAUUUUAAUAUAAUAUUAUAUAAUAUUAAGUAUAAUUUUUUUUACAUUAUAAUUAUUGAUAUAAAUUAAUAAAUUAAUUAUUUAUUAUUCAAUAAUAUUAUAUUAUAUAUUUUUUUUAUUUUUACAUUAUAAUUUAUUAGUAAAUUUAUAAUUUAAUAUAAUUAAUAAUAAUAGAAAAUAUCAUUACAUGUACUACAAAACUCUUACUUGGAUUAUUUAACACAAUUUAUUUUAUUCGUGAAUAUGUUAUAACAAUUGUAUCACUUUAUUAUUUUGUUAUUAUUUUGUGGUAUGUAUAAAUUUUUGUUCUAUUAUCCUAAGAUGACUUUUGAACUAAUCUUAUAAGUUUUAACUAUUUAUUUAUGUUGUUAUAUUAUUAGAGAUUAUUUGCUUCGAUCUUUAUUUUACAGGUCAUAUAUUUAGAAAUUACUGAAAAAUAAAUGUUAUACUUCCCAAAAUUUAAGGCUAGAAGCUCGAUCUUUAUGAAGAAUUUUGAUAUUUUUUAACAUUUACACUAAAAAAAAUUGUUAAAUUUCUAAAAUUUAAGACUUCUAUAUUUAAUAUUUUUCUAAUUACUAAUAAGUAUUAUUUUCUAAAUAUAUAAUUUAAAUUAAUCACAAAAAAUUAAUAUAGUACAGUGCAAUAUCAAAUAUAGUAUAAUUAAAAAUUAUACAGUGCAAUAUAGCACCAAAUAUUGUACACUAUUAUUAUAAUAUAGUACUAAUGCAAUACAAUAUAAUACAAUAUAGUGUGCCAAACGCACCCUCAGAAUGUGUUUGGAACAUGGGAUUAUAGGGUAUUAAAACACUGUUCACAUUAGCUUAAUACCAAUCUCAUGUUUGGAAAGAAAUUUUAAGGGAUUAAAGGGGGGUGAGCUAAUGUCAUAACUGCGUCAUUAGUGUCUUGGUUUUUUUUAAAUAAUAAAAAAAAUAUAAAUUCCUAAUUUUAUGUAAAAUUAUAUAAUAUUAAUUUUUAUUUUCUUUGAUCUUUACAUCAUAAUUAUUAAUAUAAGUUAAUAAAUUUAUAAUUUAUUAUUCAUAUUUUAAUUUUUAUUAUAUUAAAAAUAUAACUAAAUAAUUUAAUUUUAAUUCUAUAAUAAUUAAUGUAUAAAAUUGAUUAAUAUUUAAUAAGUCAAUACAACUAGUAAUAAGUGCUUAAAUAAUAUAUAAAAAUAAAAAUAUAACAUAAUAUUACAUUAUUUAAUUAUAUUACAAUAACUAAUAUAUAAAAAUUGAUUAUUAUUUAACAAUUUAAUAUAGCUAAUAAUAGAUACUUAAAUAAUAAUUUAAUAUAACUAAUAAUGAAUAUUUAUAUAUGAAUAUAUUUAAAUAAUAUUAAUUUAAAAUUAAUACCAAUAUAUAUAAUAAUAUAAAAUAUUAUUACAUGUACUGUAGUAUUCUUACUUGGAUUAUUUAGCGCAAUUUAUUUUAUUAGUGAAUAUGUUACAAUUAUUGUAUCACUUUAUUAUUUAAAUUAAUCAAAAAAAUUAAUACAGUACAAGAUAGCACUAAACAUUAUAUAACAUUAUUAAAAUACAGUGUUAAUGCAAUAUAAUGUAAUACAAUACAUCUAUAUUAAAAUAAUAUAAUAUAAUAUAAUUUAAUAUAAUACAAUAUGUCAAAUGCACCCCGUGUAUUUUAAUUUCAAAAGAAGUUGGUCCUUCCUUUAUUUAUAAAAGAUAACUUUAUUUUCAGAUUACCACUAAUUACGAUUAUUUGGUAGACUAUAGACCUAAAAGACAUGUUAGAUUAUAAAACAGUGCGAUUAAAAAAAAAAGAGUAUUUGUGACGUCAAAUAACAAUUGGUAACUAAAAUCCAAAAUAUUUCAGUUGUUAAAAGCAAAUAAAAAAAAGAAGGUAACAGUGAUGCAGAAACACAAUAUUAGCUUAUCUUGAUUUUCCCACUUUAUUCAUUCUCAAUGCUUUUCAAAAGAAAUUCUUCUAAUCCUUCUGGUGUCUGCAGCCCCUUAUCACGGGACGAGAGGUUUUGAGCCCGCGUGGCACUCUCGCAUCCCAUACUACGAGAGUAAACCUAGUGGAAGUGGCACAAUAUCGACUGGUUUCACCCUGCCUUGGGCUCAUCAGGAGAACGGCUCCAGUUCCCAACCAGUGUGUGUAGGGCUUCGCUUAGACUCCUCUUCAACGUUAAAUCCUCGACUAGCAACAAGCUCCCCAAAGUCAACUGGGUUGGCCUGCCUGAACUCCAAGAAAUCUAGGAUCAUUGUAUUCCCCACACGCACGCCCCUGAAGCACGUCUCCUGCAAUCAGCACAACUAUUAUCGAUACUAGUGUACAAGCGCAUAUCUUCGGCAUCACAAUUGCAGUCCGUGACACCCUGCUCUUCUUAUAAAACUCCACCCCAAAUCUAUACUACAAACAAGUGGAUUGAAAUUAAAAAAUUGCUUUUUGAAGUGGACCCAUUGAGUCGUGGUCAUUACUCGUCAUUGUCUAUUUUUUCUAUGAGCCAUUUAUUUUGAGCAAUAGUGAGCUUCUCUGAACUACUCCAAUUAUUGAUGUAACUCCAGUGGCUGCAUCCAUAGUUGAAUAUAUGAUAGUAUUAGCUCUUAUUUGAGAAUAUAGGGGGAUCUUUCUUUGUUUCUUUGUUGCAAUGUUCUAGUAUAUAGUCUUGCUGUUAAUGAAUUCACUGAGGCAUUAUUAAUUCAAUUUCAGUGAAGUAAUUAUGGAUGAAAAAUAAAUAAAGGAUAACAGAAUAGAGCUGAAGUGCUGAAUCGGCUAUUAAAGAAAGUGUCACGCGAUCACAAUCACACUGAUGCACAACUCUCUCGAGGCAAAUUUUGUCUAUAUGUACUCCAAAUUCAGCCAAACCAUACAUGCCUCAACAAAAUUAAACCGUAGUUCUCAUCACUACAGUAAUUGAAGCCCACAAAGACAGCUGAAAUGGAAACUUAAAACGAAGAUCUUAUUCGAGUUUGUCCCCAAAAGACAGCUGAAAUGGAAAAUAUUGACUAUUGAAUGGAUCAAUGCUGAAUUACAUUUGAAAUGGGAAGCUUGGCUGCGGUUACGAUGUUUCCCCCUCUGAUUUUUCUCCAAAACAAAUUCCGUUGUAAAUAAUAUUCAAUGUAGCAACAAUUUAUUCAGCAAAGAAAAUACCUAAUUUUUCAACUAACAAAUUCUCUUGUCUAAACUAAAAAAACUCACAUCUCUCCAAUCUAUCUACAAAUUUGGAGAUGAGAGGUGAUUUGUCAACUCGGUAAAUAAAUUCAUGCAUAAUGUUACCAAUAAUUAUAAAUUACAUAAUAAUUCUUAUAAGAAUCAUAAUAAAGGAACCUUAACCAUUUUACAAUCUAUUACAUAAGUAAGAUUAAUCUUAUAAUAAGUUAACUUAUAACUUAAUAAAUAUUUUCAAUUCAUAAUUAUUUAAGAAGUCACUUAACAAUAAAAUAUUUUUUUAUUUAAUUGAUCAUGUCAUAUAACGUUAUCUAAACUCCCGACGAUAUUAUUAUUACUCACUUUUCUCAAAAAAACAUGACUAACGUUUAGAGAAAAGUCAUGUCUUUUAGAUUGAUAGAAUACGAUUACAAACUAUCCAUACUUUAUCGUAGGCUAUAGAAACCCUUACCCAAGCAUGACAGUCAAAAUAGAACUUGACACGGUUAUUAUUGUAAGUAUCUGCAGCAAAAGCAGUCUUAUCGAAGCCACUGCUGUCGAGAAUUGCAACCACUGAAAGCCCAGAUGGUCCCUCAAUCAAUAGAUCAAAAAACUUCUCUCUGCCCCUUUCAAAUUCACUGAUAUCGAGCCGAGGUUGUCCCUCACUCAAUAGGCGUAUGAUUUCGUUCCUUUUUUCACUGAUAUCAAAACCAUUGUCGCCGGGUGGAAGUUGUUGCAUCCGAUUUCUAAUAUCAAUGAUUUUAGUGUGGAGUCCAACAAGAAGAGCCAUAUCAGUACUGCUUUCACUUUCGUUUUCACUGUUUUGCUGCUGCAUGAUUUUGAUGAAGAAUGUGUCAAUGGCUUCCUCAGAUUCAUGGACAAAGUCAUUGAUGUCCUCCAGAAUUUCAAAAAUAUCUGCUGUUUCAACGUCUUCUUCAUCGCUUUCUUCUAAGUCCAACAGUUGCAAAAAAGGCAAUGAUAUUUUGGAGUCAUCUAAUUCUUCUCUAAGGAGUUGAAACAAAUGCCGAGCCAUGUCAGCUUCAUAGUUUCCCAGCAGAGUAGUAGCAAUAAUUUCGGACUCCGUAAGAAGGUUUUGAAAACGUGGAGUUAAAUUUGUUGAAUCUGGCAAAGUUAACGUGCCUUCUUCACCUGCUAACACCCUUUUCAACCUCUCACAAAACAGUCGGAGGUGGAAUUCCAGCAUAUCUCCUUCUCUCCGUAGCACUCAGAGGUAUAGCUGAAAGAUUAAACACCAUGGAAGAAUUUGAAAGGAAAAUGCCAAGAAAUUGUGUAAGUGGCUAAAUUCCACAAAUAUGACAUUAUUGCUCAUUUUUUAACUCAAAAAAAGGGUACGCGUUCAUUUAGAGAAAAGUCCAAGACGCGUGCUUUUUGAAAAGAACAGGUAUCCCAAUCGGUAUCCAACCUUUAUCUUAUUUAAUUACUACCAUGACAUAAUUGAUGGUGCUUAAAUCAAUUGUUUCUUUUUUAAUUUAAAGAAUUUUUCAUUAAAAAAAUAUUUUAAUAUCAAAUUGCCUUCAGUGGCGUAACAACUGCCUGAAGCCCAGUAACAGGACUAAUUAAAAAUUUUACAAUUUUUGGGCAUGGAAAUAGUAGUAUUAAACAUUAGAAAGGUGAGGUUGUUCUGUUAAAGAAUUGAUAUUGACAUAAUUUUAUUUUGGUUUUCGUGGAAAACAAAAAUAUUUGUUGACAAGCAAGAAAAUAUUUUUAUUUUUUAAAAUUUAUUAUGCAUAUUUUAUCAUAUUGAAGUAAUUUUAAUAAUAAAUAGAAACAUAAUAUUACAAUAAAUAAAUUAAAAUUUAACUUAUUUUGAAUAUUAUAAAAAAUAAUUUUAAUAUUAUUAAUAGGAAGACAUUGUAUUAAUUUUAAAAUUUUUUAACCCAAAGGUUUAUUUAAAAUCUUUAUUAUAAAUACAAAUAUAAAAUUAAAUAUCAUAAUUUAAAAUUUUUAAUAUUAUUUUAAGUAUUAAAAAUAUUUUAAUGUUAUUAGUCUACUACAUAGAUCAUAUUACUUAUAUAAUAUUUGUAUUAUUAAAAAUUUUUAAAAUCAAAUUUUUAGUUAGUAUAUUCAUGAGGUAUUAUGGUUACAAAAAAAAGACCUUAUUAUUACUUUUUAAAAAAUUGAGGGUCUGCGAUGAUAAUUUUUUCAAAAAGAAAAUACAUGGUAUGUAGGAGGGGUAGAGAAACAGGACUUCCAAAAUCUCUCACCCUUCUUUAAUUAAAAAAAAAAUUAAAAUAUUAAUAAAAAAUAAUAAAGAAAAUAGAAUUUUAUCUGCUCCUUACUCCAUUUUUGCAACUCUCUCAACAUCUCUGUCGAGCAGCCUUCUCUCUCAUUGUCUCUCACUAUUUCACGAUCUCUCUCUCACUCACACAGGCAAUGACCAUCUCAUCAUCGGCGGUCGUGUCGUCAGUGUCACUGGUCUUGCUCGACCGAGACAGUGAGAGAGAGGUUUGUUAGAUGGAGUGAUGAUAAAGGAUUCUAUUUUUUUUAUUAAUAUUUUAAUUUUUAAAAUUAAAAUGUGCUGCCGUUUCUCUUGUCUUUUUAGCUGUUUAGCAGCACUCUUUUCAAAAUUUAAGAAUGUAGGUGUCCUAUAAGAGAUCGAUAAAAGAACGUCAAUUAAAUUUAUAAAAAUAUGAUAAAAGAACGUCAAUUACUUGUCUUUUAGGGAAUCCAAUGAGAAAUAUGAUAAAAGAACGUCAAUUACUUGUCAUUUUCAAUUUUUUUCUGUAAGCUAUUUAUUUUGAGCAUUAGUGCUCUUGUCUGGACUACUCCAAUUAUUGACGUAACUCCAGUGGCUGCAAUUAAUGAUAUAAAGCUGAGACUUUUGACCAAGUUAUCUAGUUGGGAAAGCAAAUUUUUUUCCAGUGGGGGCAAAGAAGUGUUGAUUAAAACUGUUGCUCAGGCUGUGCCAGUCUAUGCAAUGAGUGUUUUUAAGAUCCCUCAUAGCUUUUGUGAUGACAUUGAGAAGGCUAUUGCUCGUUUCUGGUGGGGUUCCUCUGAAACAAAAAGAAGCAUUCACUGGACAAGGUGGGAACGGUUGUGCCACGCCAAGAUAAGGGGGGGAUUGGGUUUUAGAGAUUUCUCUAGUUUUAACCAAGCCUUAAUUGCUAAGCAGGGGUGGAGAAUUCUGCAGCACCCUGACUCUUUAAUGGCAAAGAUUCUGAAAGCAAAAUAUUUUAAGCAUACUGGUUUUAUGGAUGCGAAAUUGGGUUCACACCCCUCUUUUGUUUGGAGAAGUAUAUUAUGGGGUAGGCAAGUGCUCCAUAACGGCCUAAGAUGGAGAAUCGGCUGUGGGAGUCAGGUUUUAAUUUCCAGUAGCAAUUGGAUAAAAAACCAUAAGCUUCACAGUUUGGUUCCAUAUUCAAAUCUACCUCCUGAAACUGUAGUUGUUGACCUUAUUGAUGAAAGUCACCAAUGGAAAGAAGAUAUGGUUUUCCAACAUUUUCCAAUGGAUGUUGCAAAGAGGAUCACAAGAACCCCUCUCCCAAAAACUCCCCAGCAGGAUCUUCUCAUUUGGAAAUAUGAUAAGCACAGAAUUUACUCGGUGAAGAGUGGGUAUCAAUUGGCUGUUAAGCAAAAAUUCCAAAAUUAUCCAAGUUGUUCAGAUGUUACCAAGUCAAGGUGGGAGGUGAUAUGGGCUACGGAUCUUCUAGGAAAAGUCAAGAUUUUUAUUUGGAGGGCUGCUCAAAAUCUUCUCCCUACAGUUGGAAAUCUAUGGAGGAGGAGGGUGGUGAAGGAUUAUUUUUGCCAAAGAUGUAAUUGCAGAGGAGAGGAUGUCUUCCAUGCUUUAAUAGAGUGCAGGGCAGCUAAAAGGGUUUGGAAGUUGACUGAAUUUUAUGAGGAUGUAAAGCAAUUAGCUCGGCAAGACAUGUUGAGUGUGCUGCAGGAUUUAGCUGUGAAGAGAAAAAAGAAUGAGCUGGAGCUUGUUGUUGCGGUGUGCUGGGCCAUCUGGUACUCUAGGAAUCGUUUGGUGUUUGAAGGAAAGGAAGAAGAUCCAAAAACUUCAGUGGCCAGAGCAAUUGCUAUGGUGGAAUCAUACAGGCGAAUAAAAGUUCCAAAUGAACAAAAUUCUCCAGGCCAUAGCAGAAUCAGUCAACUAGAAUGGGCAAAUCCUCCAAAGGGGUGUUAUAAAGUCAACGUUGAUGCUGCAAUUAAUGUUUCAAACCAAAAGGCAGGGUUGGGUGUAGUGUUUAAGAGUGACUAACUAUCCCAAUCAACUCAAAACACUUCCCAAGAUCACACCCAAACAAACAAGAUGUACCAAGAAUCAAUCCAGUAGAAUACACACAGAUUAUUAGAACUGAAAGAAUUAAAGAAAAGGACAAGAAUUAACGUGGUUCAGCUAGCUUCAGUCUAGCUUACAUCCACGGGAGAAACAGAACCCAAUUGUAUUGAUUGUUUAAAGGAGUUACAGAGAGUUCAUCAAGCUUGUUACAGAGUCUCUCAAGAAGCCUUUUGUUAUUAAUCUUCUCAACUCACAAUAGCUCUCUCUUCUUUUUUCUCAGUUGCCAGAAUCAGCUGUAUAUAACAGCUUGUUAACGAAUCAGCAACCAACCCAGAAACCCACGUGACAGUCAUGUGAGUUAACUGAUUCUAACGAACCAAGAACGCAACUUAUCCAUGCACGUGAAACUCUCGUGCAUCACUUAACCAAAACGACCUUCAUACAUGUCGUUCCAGGAGAUACGAGUUUGACUUUCCAAAACGCAGCAUCAGCUGACGUUUUCACAAACAGAUUUGCUUCACAUCACAACAAUUCUCCACCUUGAACAAAUCACUCUCUGAUCCUGAUUUCUCCAACCUGAGUAUUUAGAAUUCACUCAGCCCAGCUUUGUCCAAGCCGCUCUUGAACUUAGCUGUAGUUACAACCUUAGUAAGCAUGUCAGCAGGAUUAUCAUCUGUAUGCACUUUCACCAUGCUAAUCACACCUUUAGAGAUCACAUUUCUGAUAAAAUGUAACUUGAUAUCUAUGUGUUUAGUUUUUUCAUGGUGAGCUGGGUUCUUACUCAAGUAAAUUGCACUUGAGCUGUCACAAUGAACUUCCACAGUCUCCUGCUUCAUCCCCAGUUCUGUUAUCAACCCUCUCAGCCACAGAGCUUCCUUGACAGCUUCUGUUGCAGCAGUAUAUUCAGCCUCUGUUGUUGACAAAGCUACAACAUGCUGCAAUCUUGCCUUCCAGUUAACAAGGCAACCAUCCAAGAAAAACAUAUAGCCAGUUAAAGAUCUCCUUCUGUCUAAGUCCCCAGCAUAGUCUGAGUCAACAUAACCACAGAGACCUGCAAUCUUUCCAGCUGAUUUUCCAUAUACCAACCCAUACUGUUGUGUACCUUUCAGAUACCUCAGCACCCAUUUAACAGCCUUCCAGUGCUCCUUUCCAGGUGUAGCCAUAAACCUACUUACAACACUUAAAGCAUGAGCUAAGUCUGGUCUUGUAAGUACCAUUGCAUACAUCAUGCAACCAACAGCAUUUGCAUAAGGAACCUUUGUCAUUUCAUUCCUCUCUUCAUCUGUACUGGGGCAUUGUGAACAUGACAGCUUGAAGUGAGAUGCAAGAGGGGUUACUACUGACUUGCUGUUUGACAUCCCAAAAGUUCCCAGUACCUUCUCUAGAUACUUCCCUUGAGACAGAAUCAUAGUACCCUUCUUCCUGUUCCUUAUUAUUUCCAUACCCAAAAUCUUCCUAGCUGGACCCAAGUCUUUCAUAUCAAAUUCUGAAUUGAGCAGUUGCUUCAAAGCCUCAAUCUCUUCCCUUUCAUUACAAGCAAUCAACAUAUCAUCUACAUAUAACAGCAGAUAUAUGUAGUUGCCUGAUUGUAUGAUCUUGUAGUAAACACAUACAUCAUAGCUGCACCUUAGAUACCCAUGAGUGACCAUAAACUCAUCAAAUCUAAGGUACCACUGUCUGGGUGAUUGUUUCAGCCCAUACAGUGACCUCUUCAGCAGACACACACAGUCAGCAGAUUCAGGACUUGUGUACCCUUCAGGCUGUGUCAUCAAGAUGUCCUCAUUUAAUCUUCCAUGUAGAAAGGCUGUCUUGACAUUGAGUUGAUCAAGCUCCAUGUCUUUUACAGCUGUUAAAGCCAGUAGCACUCUGAUUGAUGUGUGUCUGACUACUGGUGAGAACACCUCUUUGAAAUCCACUCCAGCCCUCUGUGUGUAACCCUUGGCCACUAACCUAGCUUUGAAUCUUCUAGGUUCAGUAGCUGUUAGUCCAUCUUUGACUUUGUAGAUCCAUUUACAUCCUACUGUUCUGCUGUUGGCAGGUCUUUUAAUCAGCUCCCAUGUAUUGUUCUUCUUCAGUGAAUAGAUUUCCUCAUCCAUGGCCUUUUUCCACUCAUCUUUGUAUGGUCCCUGGAUAGCCUCUUUGUAGUUCUUGGGUUUAUCAUCAUCAAUUUGAUGAGAUGCUGUUAAUGCAUAGGCUAUCAGAUCUGCAUAUCCAUAUCUGACAGGUGCUUUUGCUUUCCUUCUUUCUCUGUCUCUUGUCAGCUGGUACUCCUGAUGCUGAGCUUCAGUCUGCUUUACAUGAUCAGUUUCUAGAUCAGUAGCUCCUUGAUAAGAGUCAUCUUCAUCUUCUGAAGCUUCUCUAGUGUAGGGCUCCACCUCAAACUGAAUCUUGGUUCUCUCCUUCUCCUUUGGUGUAUCUGUGUCAGUAGGUUUCUUCAUUUCCAGUGCAGCUUUCUCAUUGAAUAUUACAUCUCUACUGAUUAUGCACUUGGGGGGAUUAAGGUCUGUACACCACAGUUUGAAGCCUUUAACACCUUCAGGAUACCCAAUGAACUUUCCUUUAAGGGUUCUUGGAGCUAACUUCCCUUGGCUCACAUGUGCAUAAGCUGGACAUCCAAAUACUUUGAGGCUGCCAUAGUCUGCUGGUUUUCCAUGCCAUUUCUCAAAUGGGGUUUUGAAGUCAAGUGCUGCAGAGGGACUUAGAUUUACCAGAUAGCUUGCUGUUAACAGAGUCUCAGCCCACAAUCCUUUUGGAAGUUGUGACUGGAUCAUCAUGCUUCUUACUCUGUCCAUCAGGGUUCUGUUCAUUCUUUCGGCUAACCCAUUUUGUUGAGGAGUCAGCCUUACAGUUCUAUGCCUUGCAAUGCCAUGAUCUGCACAGUAGCUAUCAAACUCCUGAUUGCAAAACUCAAGACCAUUGUCUGUUCUGAGUUUCUUUACCUUCAAUCCAGUUUGAUUUUCAACCAGGGAUUUCCACUCUCUGAAUUUUCCAAAUACCUGAUCCUUGUGCUUUAAGACAUAAACCCAUACUCUCCUUGAAUAAUCAUCUAUUAAAGACAAGAAAUAGGUGUUGCCACCUAGUGACAUUGUCUGUGCUGGUCCCCAUAAAUCUGAGUGUAUGUAUUCAAGGAUGCCUUUUGUUGAAUGAACUGAUUUUCCAAAGCUACUUCUUGUAGCUUUGCCUAGUACACAGUCUUCACAAAAAUUCAGUUCUGAGAUUUGACUGCUGCCUAGAACCCCUUGCUUCUGUAAUUCUUUCAGACCUCUCAAGCUCAUAUGUCCUAAUCUAAGGUGCCACAGCAGAGUGUUAUCACAGCUUGAACUGAUUAACACUCCUGACACACCAGUUAUAGCUUCCCCAUUCAAAACAUAAACCCCAUUUCUCUUGUAACCUUUCAUAACUAUCCCAUCUUCAUUUGAAAUUCUCAGCUCACCAGAUUCAAGCUUAAUGCUAAGCCCCAUUUGGUCAAGCAUACCUAGAGAUAUUAAGUUCCUUUUAAGUUCAGGAACAUACCUAACUUCCCUUAAUUCUCUUAUUGUUCCAUCAUGCAAUUUUAGGUUUAUAUUUCCUAUCCCCGCAAUUUUACAAACAGCAUUGUUACCCAUCAUAACUUUUCCUCCAUCAGUUUCAUGAUAGUUUAAUAGGUAAUCUUUAAAGGGGCACAUAUGAAAUGUACAACCUGAGUCUAGAAUCCAGGUACCUUUUUGCACAUGCUCUGUAGCCACACAUACUCCUGCUGACUCAUACCCCUCUUCCUCAGCAGUAGCAGCAGCUCCAUUUUGUUCCCUUUUCUUGUUCUUGAGUUCUGGGCAAUCUCUCUUGAAAUGCCCUUCUUUCUGGCACUGAAAACAUUUCUUGCCUUUAGUCUUUUGUUUGUUGUUCCCUUGCUUCUUUUUCUUUCCAUCAUACUUAUCAGUUCUUGCUUUUACUGCCAAUACUUCUCCAGAGUUCAUAUUCCCUGACUUUUCUUGCAGCCCUCUAGUAUUCAGGGCAGCCUUAACUUCAUCCAAUGAUAAAGUCUGUCUCCCAUACAUGAGUGCAUCCACAAAGUUUGAAUAUGAGGAUGGAAGUGAACUAACCAGAAGCAAUGCUUUACCUUCAUCAUCUAAACCUUCAUCAAUUAUUUCCAAUGUAUCACAGACCUGAUUGAAUUCAUCAAUGUGGUCUUCGAGAGAUGACCCUUCAGCCAUCUUUAGUGUGAACAUUCUUUUCUUGAUGUAAAGUCUGUUGGCUAAUGAUUUAGUCAUAUACACCCUUUCAAGCUUUGCCCACAGAUCAGCCACUGUUCUUUCUCUUGCAACUUCCCUGAUCACCGAGUCUCCAAGACUCAAGAUUAUGGUACUCCUUGCCUUUUUGUCAAUCUCAGCAGCUUGUUGUGGUGUUAGUGAUGAUGAAGAUGUGGAGGCUUCUAAUCCUUCUUUCUUGAUGAUAGGUUCUAAGGCAUCACCUAGCCCUUGAGUGAUCAGUAAUGCCUCCAUUUUAACCUUCCACAUGUUGAAGUCAUUCUUCCCUGUAAACUUCUCUAGAUCGAUCUUUGAACCAACCAUACUUGUGUCUGAUUUGUAAUCCAAGCUCUGAUACCAAUUGUAGUGUUUAAGAGUGACUAACUAUCCCAAUCAACUCAAAACACUUCCCAAGAUCACACCCAAACAAACAAGAUGUACCAAGAAUCAAUCCAGUAGAAUACACACAGAUUAUUAGAACUGAAAGAAUUAAAGAAAAGGACAAGAAUUAACGUGGUUCAGCUAGCUUCAGUCUAGCUUACAUCCACGGGAGAAACAGAACCCAAUUGUAUUGAUUGUUUAAAGGAGUUACAGAGAGUUCAUCAAGCUUGUUACAGAGUCUCUCAAGAAGCCUUUUGUUAUUAAUCUUCUCAACUCACAAUAGCUCUCUCUUCUUUUUUCUCAGUUGCCAGAAUCAGCUGUAUAUAACAGCUUGUUAACGAAUCAGCAACCAACCCAGAAACCCACGUGACAGUCAUGUGAGUUAACUGAUUCUAACGAACCAAGAACGCAACUUAUCCAUGCACGUGAAACUCUCGUGCAUCACUUAACCAAAACGACCUUCAUACAUGUCGUUCCAGGAGAUACGAGUUUGACUUUCCAAAACGCAGCAUCAGCUGACGUUUUCACAAACAGAUUUGCUUCACAUCACAACAUUGGGGGUAGUCAUUAGAAACUCUGUGGGUAAGGUUGUUGCUGCAGCAGUCCAAAGAGCUCCAUAUAGGGGAGAUGUGGCGUGUAUGGAGGUUGAAGCUGUUCUGUUUGGUAUUCAGAGUGCCCAACAAGCAGCUGUUUUCCCAAUAAUUAUUGAGUCGGAUUCAAAGGAAGUGGUGGAUCUAUCCUUAAAGAAAAAGAUCAGCAAGACUGAAAUUGAGUGGAAAAUUGCAGAAAUCCAAGCAAAUCUGGAAAAUCAGAAUGUGUCCUCGCUGUCAUAUGUCCCUAGAAGCUGUAACUCUAUUGCUCAUUCUAUUGCAAAGAUAGCUCUAGGUUUUGAAAGUCAAGUCUUUUGGCUGGAAAACUUUCCAGAACAUAUCAGGUGUACUCUUGCUAAGUUCAUCAAUUGAAAAGCUUUACUUUGCUCAUCAAAAAAAAAAAAAAAAAAAAACUCCAGUGGCUGCAUCCACUGGAAAAAGUGGAUGAGAACCAUUUUUUUUUCAUAAAGGUAACUACUCACAUAAUUGAUGGUGCUUAAAUCAAUUUUUUUUUUAAUUUAAAGAAUUUUGCUUUAAAAAAUAAUUAAUAUCAAAAUGCCUUCAAUGUUGUUACCCUCACAAGCCCAGUUAGAGGACUCAUUAAAAAUUUUAGAAUUUUCAGGCCUGGAAAGCGUAGUAUUAAACAUCAGAAAGCAAAGGUUUUUAUGUCGAAGAAUUGAUGUCGACAAAAUUUUAUUUUAGUUUUUGGGAAAAAAAAUAUUUUGUUGACAAGCAAGAAAAUAUUUUUUAUACUUUACAAUCUGCCUUCUCUCUCAUUGUCUCUCACUAUUUCACGAUCUCUCUCUCACUCACACAGGCAAUGACCAUCUCAUCAUCGGCGUUCGUGUCGUCAGUGUCACUGGUCUUGCUCGACCGAGACAGUGAGAGAGAGGUUUGUUAGAUGGAGUGAUGAUAAAGGAUUCUAUUUUUUUUAUUAAUAUUUUAAUUUUUAAAAUUAAAAUGUGCUGCCGUUUCUCUUGUCUUUUUAGCUGUUUAGCAGCACUCUUUUCAAAAUUUAAGAAUGUAGGUGUCCUAUAAGAGAUCGAUAAAAGAACGUCAAUUAAAUUUAUAAAAAUAUGAUAAAAGAACGUCAAUUACUUGUCUUUUAGGGAAUCCAAUGAGAAAUAUGAUAAAAGAACGUCAAUUACUUGUCAUUUUCAAUUUUUUUCUGUAAGCUAUUUAUUUUGAGCAUUAGUGCUCUUGUCUGGACUACUCCAAUUAUUGACGUAACUCCAGUGGCUGCAAUUAAUGAUAUAAAGCUGAGACUUUUGACCAAGUUAUCUAGUUGGGAAAGCAAAUUUUUUUCCAGUGGGGGCAAAGAAGUGUUGAUUAAAACUGUUGCUCAGGCUGUGCCAGUCUAUGCAAUGAGUGUUUUUAAGAUCCCUCAUAGCUUUUGUGAUGACAUUGAGAAGGCUAUUGCUCGUUUCUGGUGGGGUUCCUCUGAAACAAAAAGAAGCAUUCACUGGACAAGGUGGGAACGGUUGUGCCACGCCAAGAUAAGGGGGGGAUUGGGUUUUAGAGAUUUCUCUAGUUUUAACCAAGCCUUAAUUGCUAAGCAGGGGUGGAGAAUUCUGCAGCACCCUGACUCUUUAAUGGCAAAGAUUCUGAAAGCAAAAUAUUUUAAGCAUACUGGUUUUAUGGAUGCGAAAUUGGGUUCACACCCCUCUUUUGUUUGGAGAAGUAUAUUAUGGGGUAGGCAAGUGCUCCAUAACGGCCUAAGAUGGAGAAUCGGCUGUGGGAGUCAGGUUUUAAUUUCCAGUAGCAAUUGGAUAAAAAACCAUAAGCUUCACAGUUUGGUUCCAUAUUCAAAUCUACCUCCUGAAACUGUAGUUGUUGACCUUAUUGAUGAAAGUCACCAAUGGAAAGAAGAUAUGGUUUUCCAACAUUUUCCAAUGGAUGUUGCAAAGAGGAUCACAAGAACCCCUCUCCCAAAAACUCCCCAGCAGGAUCUUCUCAUUUGGAAAUAUGAUAAGCACAGAAUUUACUCGGUGAAGAGUGGGUAUCAAUUGGCUGUUAAGCAAAAAUUCCAAAAUUAUCCAAGUUGUUCAGAUGUUACCAAGUCAAGGUGGGAGGUGAUAUGGGCUACGGAUCUUCUAGGAAAAGUCAAGAUUUUUAUUUGGAGGGCUGCUCAAAAUCUUCUCCCUACAGUUGGAAAUCUAUGGAGGAGGAGGGUGGUGAAGGAUUAUUUUUGCCAAAGAUGUAAUUGCAGAGGAGAGGAUGUCUUCCAUGCUUUAAUAGAGUGCAGGGCAGCUAAAAGGGUUUGGAAGUUGACUGAAUUUUAUGAGGAUGUAAAGCAAUUAGCUCGGCAAGACAUGUUGAGUGUGCUGCAGGAUUUAGCUGUGAAGAGAAAAAAGAAUGAGCUGGAGCUUGUUGUUGCGGUGUGCUGGGCCAUUUGGUACUCUAGGAAUCGUUUGGUGUUUGAAGGAAAGGAAGAAGAUCCAAAAACUUCAGUGGCCAGAGCAAUUGCUAUGGUGGAAUCAUACAGGCGAAUAAAAGUUCCAAAUGAACAAAAUUCUCCAGGCCAUAGCAGAAUCAGUCAACUAGAAUGGGCAAAUCCUCCAAAGGGGUGUUAUAAAGUCAACGUUGAUGCUGCAAUUAAUGUUUCAAACCAAAAGGCAGGGUUGGGUGUAGUGUUUAAGAGUGACUAACUAUCCCAAUCAACUCAAAACACUUCCCAAGAUCACACCCAAACAAACAAGAUGUACCAAGAAUCAAUCCAGUAGAAUACACACAGAUUAUUAGAACUGAAAGAAUUAAAGAAAAGGACAAGAAUUAACGUGGUUCAGCUAGCUUCAGUCUAGCUUACAUCCACGGGAGAAACAGAACCCAAUUGUAUUGAUUGUUUAAAGGAGUUACAGAGAGUUCAUCAAGCUUGUUACAGAGUCUCUCAAGAAGCCUUUUGUUAUUAAUCUUCUCAACUCACAAUAGCUCUCUCUUCUUUUUUCUCAGUUGCCAGAAUCAGCUGUAUAUAACAGCUUGUUAACGAAUCAGCAACCAACCCAGAAACCCACGUGACAGUCAUGUGAGUUAACUGAUUCUAACGAACCAAGAACGCAACUUAUCCAUGCACGUGAAACUCUCGUGCAUCACUUAACCAAAACGACCUUCAUACAUGUCGUUCCAGGAGAUACGAGUUUGACUUUCCAAAACGCAGCAUCAGCUGACGUUUUCACAAACAGAUUUCGUUCACAUCACAACAUUGGGGGUAGUCAUUAGAAACUCUGUGGGUAAGGUUGUUGCUGCAGCAGUCCAAGGAGCUCCAUAUAGGGGAGAUGUGGCGUGUAUGGAGGUUGAAGCUGUUCUGUUUGGUAUUCAGAGUGCCCAACAAGCAGCUGUUUUCCCAAUAAUUAUUGAGUCGGAUUCAAAGGAAGUGGUGGAUCUAUCCUUAAAGAAAAAGAUCAGCAAGACUGAAAUUGAGUGGAAAAUUGCAGAAAUCCAAGCAAAUCUGGAAAAUCAGAAUGUGUCCUCGCUGUCAUAUGUCCCUAGAAGCUGUAACUCUAUUGCUCAUUCUAUUGCAAAGAUAGCUCUAGGUUUUGAAAGUCAAGUCUUUUGGCUGGAAAACUUUCCAGAACAUAUCAGGUGUACUCUUGCUAAGUUCAUCAAUUGAAAAGCUUUACUUUGCUCAUCAAAAAAAAAAAAAAAAAAAAAACUCCAGUGGCUGCAUCCACUGGAAAAAGUGGAUGAGAACCAUUUUUUUUUCAUAAAGGUAACUACUCACAUAAUUGAUGGUGCUUAAAUCAAUUUUUUUUUUAAUUUAAAGAAUUUUGCUUUAAAAAAUAAUUAAUAUCAAAAUGCCUUCAAUGUUGUUACCCUCACAAGCCCAGUUAGAGGACUCAUUAAAAAUUUUAGAAUUUUCAGGCCUGGAAAGCGUAGUAUUAAACAUCAGAAAGCAAAGGUUUUUAUGUCGAAGAAUUGAUGUCGACAAAAUUUUAUUUUAGUUUUUGGGAAAAAAAAUAUUUUGUUGACAAGCAAGAAAAUAUUUUUUAUACUUUACAAUCUGCUAUACAUAUUUUAUCAUAUUAAAGUAAUUUUAAUAAUAUAUGGAAACAUAAUAUUUUAAUAAAUAAAUUAAAAUUACUUUGAAUUAUUGAAUAUUACAAAAAGAUAAUUUUAAUAUUAUUAAUAGGAAAACAUUUUUUAAUUGUAAAAUCUUUUUAAUACAAAAAUUCAUUUAAAAUCUUUAUAAUAAAUACAAAUAUAAAAUUAAAAAAUAUUAUAAUUUAAAAUUUUUAAUAGUAUUUAAAUAUUAAAAAUACUUUAAUAUUAUUAAUCUACUACAUCAAAUAUAUUAUUUAUAUUAUAUUCGUAUUGAUUAAAACGUUUUAAAGUCAAAUUUUUAAUUAGUGUAUUCAAAGGUACAAAAGAUUUUAGUAUUAUUUUUUAAAAAUUUCAGGAUAUGAAUGUUAAUUUUUUUCAAAUUUUAAAGAUGUAAAAAUCUUUUUUUCUGAUAAUUUAUUUCACUUUUGAGAGAAUCCGAAAACGUUAAUUUAACAUUCUUUACCUUUGUGAAAAAAGUGAAAAUCAAGAACUAUUCAAUUUUGUUUUUAUUUGUAAUUCAAAAACUUUAUUCAUUUUGGAUGCUUUUCAAAAGAGAUUCCUUUAAAUCCUUUUGGUGUCUGCAGCUCCUGCUAUUCUCAUAAGUCUCCAUCCCACAUCUACACUAUCAAACAAGUUGAUGGAAAUUCUUAUAAAAAAAAAAAAAAAGUCGAUGGAAAUUGAUCAAUUGCUUUUUGAAAUGGACCCAUUGAGUCAUGUUCAUUUCUGGUCAUUGUCUACUCUUUCUAUCAGCCAUUAAUUUUGACCAUUUGCGAUCUUAUCUGGACCAACUCCAAUUAUUUAUGUAACGAACUCCAAAGGUUGCAUCUACAGUUGAAUGUAAGAUAGCGAAGGCUCUUCUUUGAGAAAAUAGAGGAACCUUUCUCUGUUUCUCCGUUGCAACGUGCUCAUAUAAAUUUCUUUACCUUACAGUUUAUACGGUCUUGCUGUUAAUGAAUUCGCUGAGGCAUUAUUGAUCCAAUCUGAGUGAAGUAAUUGUGGCUGAAAAAUAAAUAAAGGAUAUGAGAACGUAGCUGAAGUGCUGAAGGGGCUAUUAAAGAAGAGUGUCACUUGAUCACAAUCACAUUGAUGCACAACUCACUCGUGGCAAAUUUCGACUAUACGUACUGCAAAUUCAGCCAAACCAUACAUGCAUGAACAAAACAUCUUCUCUAAACUAAAAAGCCCACAUCUCUAAAAUCAAUCUACAUAAUGUUGGAGAUGAGGGGUGAAUUGUUAACUCAGUAAAAAAAAAAAACUCAUGCAUAAGAUUACUAAUAAUAUAAAUUAUAUAUUAAUCAUUAUAAAGAAUCAUAAAUUAGAAAAAUUAAUCAUUUUAUAAUUUAUUACACAAGUAUGAUAAAUCUUAUAAUAAGUUAUAACAUAAAAAAACGUUAUCAAUAAAUAAUCAUUUAAGAAGUCAUUUAACAAUAAAAUCGUUCUUUGAUCAGUUGGUCAUGUCACAUAGUAUCAUCUAUAUUUAUGGUGAUAAUAUUAUUACUUAGUAUUAUCAAAAAACAUGAUUUAACAUUUAGAGGAAAUUCUUGCCUUUUAAAAAAAACAUGUAUGCAACAGCUACCCAUGCUUUAUCUUACCAUGACAAAUAUUUUCUCAAUGAAAGAAUUUUUUUUUAAAAUUGAUUUAAUGCACAAAUAUGAUGAUUUUUGCCAAAAAUUAAUUUUGGAAAACAUAGUGAGAGAAAAUAGUGACGAUUAUUGUUUAGAUGUAUAAAUAGCCUAAACAUAAUCCUUAAUACCAGUAUCCAUGUGCAUCUUAGCAUCUUUUAUGAUAUUCUUUCAUUUAUGUCCAUUGGUUCAAGAUUUGAAUUUGAUCAUUAAAUCAUAUUCAAUAAUAUUAGAGAUUCCAAAAAUUGAGUACCAACUUAAAUCCCAAUGUUAUGUUUCAUUGACCAAUGUCGUGUCAUUUUCUUAUUAACUAGGUGAUGAAUUUCUAGUUGAUAAAAUCACUUAAAAAUAUCUUAAAAAUCAGACAAUAGUUUGCUUAAUUUUUCCAAGUUAACUGCUCAAGAUGCUCUAUUAUAAAUGAUAACCUAAUUAUAUUCAUAAAAAAUGAUAUAUUUUUUGUGGUGUUGAUAAUGAGAUUAUCAUUCAACAUUUUAAAAUGUGAAAACAUAUGGAAGAUGGUUGUAAAUUGAUUGAAUGAAAAUAUUUCAGUGAAGUCUCAAAAAUUUGGUACUUGUUGUCUUAUCGAAAGUUUUCUAAAUUAUAUUCGUGGCACAGCCACUAUCCAAACCAUACAAGUCCAAAGCUAUCCAAACCAUACCUGCAAGUCCGGGGCUUAAAUGGAGUACUUCUAAGCAAAAAAACAUUGACUAAAAUAGAAUAUAUACAUACAGACACACAUACAUACCAGCAUAUUCAAAAUAGCAAAAGGAGUGCAAAGUUCAAGUUUGUAGACAACAUUGCAACCAUAGCAUGUUUAUAGCAAAUCCUCAAAAUCUGCUAAAUAAAACAAUGCCCUGUCUCAUGAAUCAAUGCUGAAUUAAAAUUGAAACUGAAAGUCUGGAUGGUGUUGUUUGUUGAGAAUGUCAAAUAAAACGGCAUUGAAGGAAGUUUUCAAAGGCAGAAUCCGCACUUGUCAAAGGGAUGAUCUGCACUUGUCAAAGACACGAUCCGCGCUGAACGGAUCGACACAUUUCCUUCCGUAUUCACAUAUGUAAUCUUUGAAAAAAUAUAGCUUCUGCAUCUAUAAAUAACGCUCAAUGUAUAAUGUUUUAUUCAAGAAAUAAAAACAAGUUUCUACAUGGUAUCAGAGCCAUGAAUGCGCUCAAGUUUCUUCAAGUUUCGUUGCUCUGUUUGUCACAAAAACAGAGGAAACCAAAUUCGUCCCACAACCAUUUUUUCCACCAUUUUCUUCCUUAAAAUCAUUCCUAACAUUACAGAAAUCCAUGCCGAUCAAAAAACAUGAAAGACAAAUUACACAUGUGCAGUAACCAAUGAUCAUAUUUCGUUACUGUCAAACACAAUGCAUCUGAGCAAAACAUUGGAAGCCAACACCAGAAUACAUAUGAAUAAACAAUUAAAGAUAGAGAAAAAAGGCUUAAACCUUGGGGGAAAAAAGUGAAAAAACAUGAAAGACAAAUUACACAUGUGCAGUAACCAUCGAACUUAUCAGUGACAGCUGCAUCUAUUACAUUGCUCCAACAACACAAUGGCAAACCACCAGUUUCAAAUUGAGGAUAGCUAUCGAGAAUGAGAAAGUGUCCAAAACGUCAUAAAUAGACAUGUUCCUAUUGUGCAUAAUUUACAUUAUAGGCAAAUAUUCUUAUACCAUCAAUGGCAAAACAUGACACUAACAAUUGAUCCCCCCAACACCCCCCCCCCCCACCAACCAAAAAAAAAAAGGAAAUAACAAUACAGAAAAGAUUGAAACAGAUAAGGCUACACUGAGCACAGGAUGCCAUGAAACAUAAUCCAGGAACCAAAUUAAUAAAAAAGGAAGCCAAACCAUUAUUUAACAAUCUGUUUUGUAUUUGGGAAAGUCUGAUAAAAUCUACUUAGGGAUAAUUAGAGAACUUCAACUAUUAAUCACACCUCAUAAAUGAACUAACAUUAACCAUCUACCAUCCCCACGUCACACAAACAUUCUCUAUACUUCUGAACCUAAUACUUCCAUCUUCAAUUGGGGGGUUUUUUUCUUUUUUCUUUUUUUUGGGGGGGGGGGGGGGGGGGGGGGGAAGCUAUCAAUUUUCUAAGCUUGCUUAGCUUCUGUGUGGGAUUGAAAUGCUGAUUUCGAAUCACUAACAGUAAAAUUGGAAGCUCAUGAGAAAAUAGAGAAAGACCUAAUGUUGAGUCCUUUGGCGCAUGUCUCUUCAUAGGUCCGAACCAUUUCUUCGGGCGUGGGUUACGGCCGAGAUUGGAUAAUGAUGGAGGAGGAGAAAAUAGAUAAUGAUUGCACUAAUUUUCUAGAUGAAUUUUUUCCUACAUGCUUGUUCCCGAAUGACCCAAAAUCCUGCUACAUCAGUUGUAUUAGAAAUUAAUCAACUGGGUUACAAUUAUGCAUCCCCACCAAUAUUUAAGCAAUUUACAGAAACAUUUCUUGAGGAAAAAAACUCAUAUCGCCACUAGGCUUUUAAUGAGGCUCAUUUUUAUGAAUUUGGAUGGCAUUAGAUAUCUCUCCAAAUAUUGGUGGGAGUAGAUCGCAGAUCUCUGGGCUAUACUACAAAGUGUAUGUACGUUGACUCUCAAUAAAUACAAACGAUUCUCUGAUAUGAUUCAAAACAUCAGUACAUGCAUCAUUUUAAUGAGAAAGAAUAUUCUAAGAACGAAAUUGAAGGUGCAAUCAGCAGCUAAAAUGAAGCCAGAAAUGUACACGCAUGAGGAACUUUUCCUAGAAGAUUGAUAUUUCUUUGACUAGCAAACCACACACGUCAAAGCUAGCCAAACCAUACCUGCAUGUCGGGGGUUUAAAUGGAGUACUUCUAAGCAUAAAACAUUGAUUAAAACAGAAUACACACAUACAUACCAGCAAAUUCAAAAUAGCAAAAGGAGUGCAAAAGUUCAAGUUUGUAGACAACAUUGCAACCAUGGCAUGUUUAUAGCAAAUCCUCGAAAUCUGCUAAAUAAAACAAUGCCAUGUCUCAUGAAUCAAUGCUGAAUUAAAAUUGAAACUGAAAGUCUGGCUAGCGAUGUUUCCCUCUCCAAUUUUGCCUACAUAAGUGAAAAUAAGAAUAAUAAAUGAAAAUCUGCUUUGACAGUUCUUAUUAGAUAGAUAUAAAAAGAUCUUUCUUUGUUUCUCUGCAGCAAUCUGUGGCUAUCCCACUCUGUUUUGCCAGUCAAGCUGCGGCCUCAAUUAGUUUGGCACUUUUAUGACCUCCUUGAAGGUUUUACGAUAAACAUAAAUCUACUGACAAAGUGGGCAAAAAGAAAAUGUAUAUAAAAGUAUGAGUUAUCAGAUAAGAUUAAAACUCACCCAAUUCAAUCCAUCAGAUUCCGUAAGGAUAUAACUGGAUGUCAUACCGCCACUCUAUAUUCUUGAAAGUCCGUAGUGUUUGUCUCAACUGUGUCUGGGGCCAGUGUAAGUCCAAUUUGCGCAAGCUCUCUAUGCACCACAGCUCUUCUGGAAGCUUUCUCAAGUAAGCACAUGGGUUGACAAUUAAGCUUUCAAGUUUCGGCAUUGCUCCAGCCCCCAUCGUCCACUCAUCUAGCCAAUACAUUGAUUUCAGGUGCAAAACCUUAAGUUCGGGAAAGCUACUCAAGCCAACACAAGCAAGCUUUCUUCCUAAAUACGAGUUCUGCUUCAGUUUCAGCACUCGAAGGAGUGGAAGAUUUUCCAGAAUUGGCAUGGGAUCCUCCAUUAGCUCAGUAUUUGAUAAGCUCAGUUGGAUCAGACUUGGGGGAAAUUGGUAUUCAGACAGGACCAUCCGUGAGGGCUUGCUCUCAUUCACCAGCUUCAAGCAUUCAAGUUUGUGGAGUUCGCAAAGGCUUUUGGAAACCCCAGAUUGAUAGUAACUCAAAUCUCCAGAUAUCCGAAGAGUCUGAACACUAGGUAGUCUGCCCAAUAUAUCAGGAGUACAACUACUAGGGUUUAAAGCUGAUAUGAAAAUGAGAUUUUUCAGAGAGCUAGAAUAAUUUUUUGGAGGUGCGGGCAGAGUGAUAGAACCAAAGUUUAGAUGCAUGAGUUUUUGCAUCAUCCAAAUAUCCUCUGGUGACUGAUCUAUGUAGCUAGAUGGCAUUUCUAGUGUUUCAAGGUUUAAAAGGGUGCAUAGCAGUGAAGGAAGGCAUUUGGGCGAAGGGAUAUUCAAUUUCAAAUACUUCAAAAGGAAUGAAUUUUCUAAUCCGGGUGGAUAUUGGUCCAGGACUGCAGAACCCAUGUUCAAUACCCGAAGGUAUUUGAACCUUUUAAAAAAAUUCUCGCAAUCUUUCGAAUUAAGAUGAUUGCUUUUUGAACUGUGAUUCAGAAA